UCACGGCUGAUGAAUCACGGCACAUGUAAAAACUGAAUCUGGCAGAGCACAAACGCGUAAGCCUCUUAAGGUUUGGCACCUGAAGAAUUUGCAGGGCUAUGUAUAGUAGACAUGUAGAUUGAGACCCUGCAGAGCUUCUACAUGCAGAAUGUUAUUGGUCACUUGUGUAUCAGUACUAGUAAUGCAGUAUCCCUUGUGAAAUAAAGGUUUUCCUGCUGCUUCGUCAGUACUAGUAAUGUAGUAUCCCUUUGUGAAAUAAAGGUUUUCCUGCUGCUUCAUCAGAAUAGAACAUCUUCCAAGAAGAGCAGAAAUCAAACUGCAAGAACUAAUGCACCGAAUCACAAAGCUUUGCAAAAUCGUGUACAGAUUUGUACUAGGGCGGCAAGGAAAUUGACUCGGAGCCCAGGAGAUUGGACAUGAUAAAAAGAAAUUUUGCCAACUACAAAUACCUCAUAUGUCAACAGAAACUAAGAUAAACAAUACACUGGGACACUGGGUCACUUGCCAUUCUUCAAACUCCUGGUGAUGAGACUGAUUUUAGUACAUAUAAUACCAGCCAGCAGUUUACUACAGAAAUAGCAAAAUGUGAUAAAGGAAGCUGAGGCACAACUCUCUCCUUCCAUUGGAGUCGGCUUGAUAGGUUCCUACGCACUGAGUCCAGGUUCAUCAGGUGUAACUUGAGCGCGGAUCGCCUCUCGAACAAGACACGUCGACGAUGACUUGUUUUCUAGCUCUUCUGCAGAUGAAACAGAUGCUGCAAUGUCAACUUUGGUUGCUUGCUCUGAAGGCAGUUUAGGGAGAGAUUUCCGUUGGGGCUUCUUCACUGCAUUUGCAGCAGGUGCUUUCUUGACACCAUUUUGGGAGACCCUUUCAUCGAGACUCAGUCGAGCUGAAUGAGCUGGAGGAUUUGAAUUUCCUUCUGUCCCUCCUGAGGAUGUGUUCUUGGAGCGACCAAGCUUUGGUGAUCUAGCUCUUGUUGUAGGGAUCUAAGAUCAACAGAAAAUAUAGCAUCCUUCAGAAGUUAGGAUAGAGCCAUAACCUUUAUACCUAGGCAGCUAAGAAAAUUUUAAGUGUGACAUAGCUGUAAUUGGAAAUUCAAAAGAAACAAUCCAGUGAAAACAAGACCAGACUAGGCUUUUCUUAUUGGAAUAGCUGCUAACUCCAGAAAAAAUAUGGAUUAUGGACUUGCAAUGAAUUUAGCAUAUAACUAUUAAUUAGGUUACAAACCUAACAAUACAACAAAUGGCCGAACUAAAGAAAAUAACAUGAUCAUGGGGGUAAUCGUUCAUUUUAUCUAUUAAGCUAUCAAUUAAGGAUAUCGUUUACAGGUUGUGCAAAGUGCAUGAUAAAUCUUAAACAUUGUAUAGGCAAAAGACUGUAAUUGGAUUUAGCUAUUACAAAAUAUGAUAUGUUAUAUUUGAGUACAAGACUGCAAAGCUCAAUAGAGUAAAAUUUUGUAGCUACACAAAGAAAGAAAAGCUCCUUUAUUACCUUGUUAAAGAAUGUUAUACCAAGAUUAAGGUCUUCGGUUCAACAUGAUGGUAAAAUGAAUUAAAGAACUAUUGCAUUUCUAUAAGUCACGUUAAACCUUAACAGGCAAAAACUUGAAGGAUGAUUAUUUGAUAAAUAUAAUCUUUUUCAAGCUGAAUUGUAAUGCCGAUAAUUUUCUCUUUAGCAGUAAACUGAGAUAUUUUGUGAUUUAGAUAUAGCAUAUAUCUGCAGCCAGCAAUUCAACGGAGGGAAAACAGGAAGAAGAAAUUAAGCCAUAAGCACGGGGGACAAUUACCUUCUUCAACUCAACCUUGGGGGGAGGUGGUUCCUUGUAAAAGCUGGGCAUUGGUGUUGCCUUGAAAUUUAAACUCUUUCUCAGCAUUUUGAGUUCAGCUUCUUCAGUUUCCUGCACAGCAGUAACAAACGGAUAAAGUCAACAUUAUAUUCAAUGUCGCAUCAAGCAAUAUCACUUCCGUAGUAAUAUGAAAAUAGAAUAAGGGCACAAACCUUUGAUUUUGCCUGCAAGUUGCUUUUCUCCAGUUCCUGUGCAUGAAUCUUCUCCUCGAGCUUUGUGUAGAACUAUAUAAUUGCAGAAUAGUGUAAGCAAAGGAAUGGUGCCCAUAUGUUCUUAAAGUAAAACCAGUGCUAAGUUAUCUACAAUGAGUUACCUCUCUUCUUUUUUCAGCUCUCUCAUCACACUUAAAACUAAAUCCAUAUGAAGGAGUGCUGCCAACCCUUUGAGGUUUCACACCUUCAUUUGAUUCUUCUUCAAUAUCCUUUUUGACAGAAUGCUGGUUUGGUGCCUUCUGAGUUUUCUUCUUCUCUCUGGAUUGGAAUGAAGCACAUGAUAUUGCAAGAAAGUCUUUUAUAUUUAAAUGCGCUAGUAAGAGAACAAAUUUAUGGAGAAAAAGUAUUUAGGGUAUGACUUGGAUGGAAAGUUGGAAACAUAUAUACAUGUUGCAAGAAAAUUGUGUAGAAACUAAUGGUAAGACUUGGUUUCACAGCACAGUUUCAAUUAUCACAAGAUGGAAGUCAAAGCAAACAGUAGUAGUUCCAAAAUAGUAAAUGCCAAAGCAAGAACAUUUAAAAAAAAUACUGUGCAACUAUAAAAUGUUUGUGGCACAAACAACAAUAAGGUUCAAAUAAAUAAGUUUUCUUUAGUGUGUGUGUGUGGGGGGGGCUCCUUCACAUAUUUGACGGAAGACACUUCAAAAAAUUCAUUGAAUUAUGCUACACACUUAUGCUACCAAAAAAAUGUAGCAAACAUAGUUGUACCAAUAAUUCAUAGAAUUGUCACACUCAAGGCAAUCUAGGUAAUAAAAGCUCAACAAUCUAGGUAACAAAAGCUCAACCAACCUAGAAGGAACUAGAUCCCUUUUUAAUUAAGAAAAUAGGCACCGAAAUUCGCCCUGACGAGGACUUGACUUAGGUGGUUUGGGCGUACGUCCACACCAACAACCAACUGAGCUAGGAUCAGUUCAUUACCAUCUGAGUAAUUAGUAGGCCUGGCUGGAUGCUUAGAGCACCAAUUUGAAUCCAGGAUCCAAAUGAGAAACAGAAACCAUGUAGCAACACAGAAUCACAAAGUGCAAAACGAAGAAACAAACAACUUACUUUGAGUCCUCAAGUGAUGGGCUCUCCUUGGCAACUGGACGGAAACUGCUCUUUUCGGCCUUCUGAUGAAAUCACCAACAACAAAAUGUAUAAGUUUCAAACUUCAAAUUGCAAGGUGCAUAAACAUUCCUACAAGUAAUAUAGUAGCAAUCAUGCAUUGAGCUAUAAAAAUAUAGAUGGGCACAUCGUAACUCAUAAGCUAUAACAAAAAUUAAUUAACUUACUUUCUUACUGGCACCAGCAUCGCCAUUGCUGGAAGAGCUAUCAACUAGAUCUGGAUCAGAAACCCGUGCAAUGGGCGCCUUAGGAUAAGAAGAAGGACUGGGAGAGCUUUUCCUAGCUUGACUCUUAUCCCCGCCUCGAGGGCUCUGUCGCUGAGAUUUAGUAACAACCUUCGGUGAAUGGCCUUGAACCCCCUAGAACACAUGAAAAUGCCAGAGAACAUGUGACUGUCAGUAAACCACUGAUUGAAGUCACCAGAACUGACAAUCUGUAAACGUAAAAAAACUUACCUCAGGAACUCGGGGCUUUAUGUCCUGGGAUUGCGAGGUGGCUUCCAUUUCCACUUCUUCAGAUGGGUUGAUCACCUCGCUCUCGCCCGAAUGCGCUCCAUCAGCCAGCCCGUCAUGUUCUUCUGCGUGGCCCUCUACAUUAUCACUGGGCGGCAACUUCCCCUUGGUCCCAUUGUCAAUGCCCAUUGCGCCAAUAGCAUCAGUAACCUCCGCACUCGCAUCCAUGUCGCGAUACUGUCUCAGGGUUUCUUUAGACCAGGUUAAAAAGAGAACUCCCACGCCACCAGCUUAAACAAGCUAUCCGCAAAUCACCGCAGGAUCAUGCUAUGCCGGUCAGCAAAUGAAUCCGCAUCAAACUAGACUGAACGCAGAGAAAGAAACAUUUGGUUUCAGCGCUCACAACAAAGUUGAGAUUUGCAGAAUAACAGGAGCAGUCCGUCCAAGAAAGCAAGGGCGUCCUCACCUGCGAGAGAUGGAAUCAGCUCCUCAGCCCCUGGCGGAUCCGAUCUCCGCUCCACCCCAGCGGCGCCCAGUGGGGACGAAGACGGCGAAGAAUCCGACCGGAGGGGUACGGCAGGCGCGGUCUCGGUCAAAGGAUACCUGGAUCUGGAUCGAGCCGUGGCUCUUGAGCGAAUGAAAGGAAAUGGUAAGGGAAAGGAAAGGAAAGGAAAGGUGGCGGCUUUACCUGGCCAGACGAAAGCGAUGGGGAGUGGAGCGGCUGAAGCGCGAGCGGGAGGCAAAGAGGGGAGUUAGGCACGGUGAAGGCGGGAGAGAGUGACGGUGGCCAGAGACUCCGGCGGUGGCGGCGGCGGAGGGAGGGCGGGACGGCGGGAGGGAGACAGCGGGGGCGUGCGUGGCUCGUGCUUUGUCUGGGUUUCCGGGUGGUGGUUUCGAAUUUCUACUUGGACCUUUCUGCGUUCCUCCAAAGCUAACUUUCUGCUUUCAGUGUUUUUCUCCUAUAUUUAUUUACCUCCAAUUUCGUCUUGUUAUAUGGUUUUUUUGUCUUCUCCUGCUGUUUAUGGGUUGUUUUGUUGGAUUAGAUGCGCUGUUUAUUGUUUCUUUAUUUGUUUGUUUUCUGGUUAUACAAUCUUAGGUGUUGUUUGGUUCAUAUUUAUGUAACUUAAUAUUACAGUGCUAAACGACAACGCUAGAUCGGGCACUCCCAAUGCAGAAACUAUCAUACUUUCUAUAGACAUUAACUAUAGUGUCACCUAAACAUUUUGUUGAUGUGGCAAGAUAAUUAUUGAAGAGAGAGAGUAAAAAUCAUAGAAACCGAAUCUAAGGCCUUGUUUAGAUGCAAAAUUUUUUUGAAUUUUGACACUGUAGCACUUUCGUUUUUAUUUGACAAACAUUAUCCAAUUAUGGAGCAACUAGGCUUAAAAGAUUUGUCUCGUGAUUUACAGGUAAACUAUGCUAUUAGUUAUCUUUUUUAUCUAUAUUUAAUGUUCCAUGCAUAUGUCGCAAGAUUCGAUGUGAUGGAGAAUCUUGUAAAGUUUUUUUGUUUUUUGAGUGUAUCUAAACAAGGCCAAGUUAGAAACCAUGUCUACACGAGAUUCAAGACAUGAAGUGAUAUGAUUGGUUGAGAAUGGAGAGAGAAUGAAUGUGAUUGGAUAAAAAAUUAUUGUAUAGAAACUAUCCAUUGGGGUCAUAGUUUCUAUACAUAGUGUCUAUAAAAAAUUAAUAUGUAUAGAAAUUAUUUGUAGUUUCUAACAUUGAGAGUACCCUAAUCGAGUAUCACACCUUGCCUAAAAAAAUUGUAUCACAUGUUCAAAUAUGCACAACCAAAAUUUUCAACUUCUCCUAGUAAUGUGGGCUGCUUUUAGGCCCUGUUUAGUUUCUCAUCCAAAAUUUUUUCAUCCAUCCCAUCGAAUCUUUGGACACAUGCAUGGAACAUUAAAUGUACAUAAAAAAUAAACUAAUUACGUAGUUUGGUUGAAAAUCGCGAGACGAAUCUUUUAAGCCUAGUUACUCCAUGAUUAGCCUUAAGUACUACAAUAACCCACAUGUGCUAAUGAUAGAUUAAUUAUGCUUAAUAGAUUUGUCUUGCAGUUUCCUGACGAGCUAUGUAAUUUGUUUUUUUAUUAGUUUCUAAAAACCUAUCCCGACAUCCUUCCGACACAUCCGAUGUGACACCCAAAAAAUUUUCAUCUCCAAUCUAAACAGGGCCUUAAUGUUUUAGUAUUCAAAAUUUAGUAUAAACUUUUCAUAGUAAAUAUCUUCUAGUAAAGAUUCUCUAGUGCUAUAAAUAGUAUUUUAUUAUUAAUUAAAAACACCAAGAGAACUCUACUAAUUUGGUAGAACAUAUAAAGCUUGUUAUCGCUCCUAGACCUUCAUAAAUGACAAGAGCGGUGGGCAAUUAGAGCCGUCGAGCUUGGCCACACGUGAUGCACCUACGCAAGGUUAGUAUAGAGACAUGUACAGUUAGGUUCUAUUUGGCACAAUUUCAUUUCACCAGUGAAGCUGUUUUUGGAGGCUUUAGCUUUAUAAACAGCUCUAUCGAUAGAGUUGGAGCCGUUUUGUUAAAUCGUUUGGCAAAACAACUCCUUCUAUAAAUUAUGCUUUCAUAGAACGGUACAUAGGAUGAGGUGAAGCCAAGAUAAACUAUUAUUUUUGGCUCAUUCGCACCCCAUUGUUACGGGCUUCAUCGGUGGAGCCAUUUUAUUUUACCCAUUUGGCAAAUGACUUUUAAAGCCGAUGGAGAAGUCGUGCCAAACGAGGCCUUACAACCCUUAUCUUAGCAAUCGGAAGUCGUUAUUUAACAAAACCAAACAAAUCGCAUAAUUGUUUGAUCUUAUUUCAUUCUGGUUGCUUUUUGUUAUCCACUGAUGUUAGGGUCAUAUAUUUGGAACAAAAUGUUAUGCUAGUCUUUUCUAUAAGAGACAUGGUGGGUGUCGUGAACAUCGAACUAUGCUUUAAAAUUUCAAGAGUUCUCUUGAAGUUUAAACUAUAUUGAAGGAUUUUCUCUCAAUUGCCUAACAUAAUACAUAGAUUGGGGAGCUUACAUGGAAAUGUUGUUUUUUUCUUAUUUUUUUGUUUUUAUAUGUGCUUUUCUUAGGCUGUUUUAAUGGUUGAAAGUGGUUCGUUAAUAAAGAAGUUGACUCAUGCCACACAUCAGACCAACUCCACUUGUAAAAAGCCUAUUGAAAAUGUUGUCACAAACAUCGAUCACCCUCAGUCCAAGGAACUUGAUAAAAGUGGGCUCAGCGAAGUAACCAAGGCAAUGAUAUAUGACUUGCAUAGAGUGGAUGAGUAUUGAGCUAGAGGUGUGAGCUAGCUAGUAGAAUUUGUUUUGAUAUGCCUCUAGAAAUCCUACUAACACAUCGAUUCAUGUAUUUCUCUUAUUUUCCCAUACUCCCUCUGUAUCGGAAAAAACGUCGUCCUGGCCAGUUCCCUCGUUUGCGAAAAGCAUGUCGUUCUGAUACCGCAGCCACUAUUUUGGACGCAAAUACCCUUGCCUCUUCGAUCCCCGCACCAUGUAUUUACACAGCCCACCACACCGCGAGCAACCAAAACGCACUAAAACUAAAAUAAUCGCAACGGCACGGGGGAUCAAACCCGCACCUGCACCAUCUCACCUCCGAACCCACCGUAGUAGCCAGUAAACAUGUGUAACUUUCUUGUAUGGAAUUUAGCAGCAGCCAUAUUUAAUGAGGGGUAGACAAGGAAAACUCUACCCUAAUUAAUGACUCCUUGGUUUGCUAAAUGCUGUCUUUAACGUCAUUUUUUACCAGUAUGGAGGGAGUAUUAUUUAAGUUAUUUAAGAUGUCAAAAUGAUUUUGAAUUAAGGAGCAUAGGCAUCGUCAACAAGCAUGACUUCAUCCGGAGGAAAAAAACAACCACAAAACGAGCCCCAAUUUAGAGGUUAAGCAACGUCAUUUGGCUCUAAGUAGAAGAGAAACGUGCUCUCUUUGACAUUUAUUUAGAUUAUAAAUAAAUAUAUUAAAGUAUUACUCCUUUUGUUCUAAAUUCUAAAAUCUUUUGCUAUGUAUUUAGAUCUGCACUAUAUCUAGAUAUAUAAUAAAAACAAUGUACUGAAAAGCCAAAAUAUCUUAUUAUUUGAAAUAGAGUGAGUACGUAGUAAAGUCUAGAAGUUUGCUAACCCAAUAAUAAGCAUACUAUUCAAAUUUUAUGGGGUCAACCAUUUCCUCUCUCCAAUGUGGAUUUCUAGAUAUGAGUAGUUAUAGUUUUUUUUCCACAAAUCGACAUUGGAUUUACCCAUCCCGUUUUAAAUUGUCACUACAAAAAGCCCACACGGGAGUGAAUGUGGAUUUAAGUGGCGUGGUUUAUAAAUCUAGUAGGGCAUAAUUUUCAUAGACCAAGUAUAUAUAGAAGGUUACCCUUCGAAAGAAAAAACAUAGCUCAAAGAAUACACAACAUCUAUAACUACAAACCCACCUCAUGAUGCCUUGCAAGCAACAACUUUGUGUCACUUUAUAUCCUUUUAUAGAUCAACCAUAUAUAGUAUUGAGAAAACACAACCUAAUCAGAAUUAUUAAAUAUCAGUAUAGUUUACUGUAUGUCUGUAGAAUGUCCGAAGCUACGCAAGUUAGCACCAUACAACACAAACAACCACAAAUUGAUAAAUAAGAAGUGGUUCUAUUUUUAGUUAAAUCAUCUUCCAUACAUUGAUAAAUGAGACAAUAAUGAGGGAAUUGGUUUGAUUUCUGAUGUGAUGCUGAGACAUGAGAGGCUACCAUAUGUAUGAUAUAGGUAUGGGUAAAGUAUACACGGAGAAGCAUAGGACCCAUGACAAAAUGAUAUGAGUCUGAAAAGAGAUAACACUCUCAUUUGAACUAUAUAAUAACUAGUUAGAUGAUGAUUUUUCUCCAAACUAAAAUUCCAAAAUUUCUGCCUCUGCCUACAUGUCUUGUAAUUGAUCCACGGGACACCUUUUUGAAUGUCAUAUCCAGUGUUAACAUGUUUUUAUUAGCGCUAUUUGUUAUUUGUAUCUAUACAUAUCUAUAAAGAGAGAAAAUUUCAGUCUGUCCAAAACUUUUCUGCCUCGCCAGUCCAGAAUAAAAGUUUUUCUAGAGUUUCUAAUACAAAAUUUUCUAUACACAUCAAAGCACAUUAAAAAUAAAAAAAUUACAGGGUCCUAAGUGUAAAUCUGUCCCCUACCCUCCGUCCGAAAUCGCCCGGCAGGCUGGCCGCUCGGCCUUCGUCCGGAAUAGCACGGGCACGCUGAUGGAAGUGUAAAAAAUAGAAGUUUUUCUAGGUUUUCAAUGCAAAAUUUCCUAUAGACCACGUCGAGAAUAAAAAAAAGUAUAAGAGCCUAUAUACAAAGUGUUUGUCUUAUUAGUUUACUUUUCUUUUAUUUUUUAAAUCGGGUGAAAAUUGAUAAAUACACAGUAAUUUAUAGAAAAAAAUAAAAAAAAUACAAAACAAAUUUUGUUCAGCUCUACAUAUGUACAUCCAUACAGUAAACAAACAAUAUCAGUAAUUUAUAGAAAAAACAAAAAAUUACAAAACAAAUUUUGUUUAGCUCUACAUAUGUACAUCCAUGCAGUAGACAAAAAGUAUCACAAAUUUUAAUAUAUUUUUUUGCUGGAGAUGCUUGCUAUGCUUUUUAGUGUAAAAUUGAAAUUAUAGUUAUCUUGCUCCAAUUAUUAUGAAAAUUUUAUGAUAGCCUAUUUAAUGUGAUAUGUGAUGCUUGAUUUGUGAUAAAAGUUUUAGUACCAUUCCUGCAUAUCUCACUGAUUUACUAAUUUACUUAAAUUUAUGCUUGAGGAUGCUUCCACUACCUUUGCACGAUGUGUUGUUAUGUUAUAUGAACACUUUAUAAGCCCAUGUUUAUAAUCUAAAUACAUUUAACUGAUAUAUCAUAUUUCAUAGGAAUUCUAAUCUAAAUAAAAAAAGUUAGCAAUGAACUUCUCAUGUUUUAAUAUAAUACUAAGGUAUAUUAAGAGGUAAUAUUAGAGUAAGAUAAGUUUUGACUAAUUUCUAUUUUUAUUAUUAAAUAAAUAUGUCUCCAAGCUAUAUAUUAUUGUAAAUAUUAACUAUCUAAUACCAUAAUACCAUAGAUGUCAUGGUUAUCAAUAAAAUAAAUUAUGAGCUUUAAAUUUUAUAAAAAGGAUAAAUAUAACUAGAUAUACAACAUUAUGUUAUCACUUUGUAUGGCCAUUUGAUGUUUUUUUCCCGGUGCAACGUACGGACAUAUUUGCUAGUUUAAUAAUAAGAAGAAGAAAGAAGAGGAAAAACAUGGGUUUUCUUAAACUAAAACAUUGGUUUUUUUUUUUGAAAAAAAGAGGAAGAACAGGUAGACUAGUACGUUUGCCAUUGGGCCUUUUGGGCUGUCGUCUUUCCUAACCCAAAUCGCGCCGCCGCACACAAACAGCCGUCAGCGCAUGAACCAAGUGAGAGCGUGACUAGAAAGCGGGGGAGCAAGCAGCGCAGCGCAGAGCGCCGGGCCGCCGGCUAAGCGGGAGGCGAAGGCGAGGAUGAUGGGGUCGGGCCGGUGGCAGUCUCCGGCUGGCGCUCCUGCGGCCGCCGAUGCCGCGGAGGAGGACACCGGCGGCGUCGGGGGCCCGUCCAGGCGGCCGCUGCGCCACGGGUUGCACCGCGCGUCGCCCUACGGGGGUGGCCUCCGCCGCCGGCUGCUCAAGCCCCCCGUGGCUUCGAGGAUAUUCCCCACCAUGCCACGCGACCGCGCCGCCUCCGGUGAUUCCCCUCACUGCCCUCGUUGUCUUGCUUGUCUGCUGACGGCUGGUGCCCGUUUUCGGAAGAGGAUCAAAUGGGGAAACUAUGCGACGUUUUACCUAUUCUGUUAGCGAGUUUGUCGCCAUUGGUGGAUGAGUUCACUGUAGCUCGCGUUUUGUUUCAGAUCAGCGCCAGUCUAUCUAGGGUUUAGGGUUAAGCGCCUGUGCAGCUCAUGCCAUUUUACUCUUUGCAUUGCAUCAAUCUCCAACCUAGGGUUUGAUGUGAAGUUAUCUGGUGCCUGGUUUUCUGAAUCCACUAGUGGAUUCAUGAUCAAGCGUGGCAAAAGUCUACCAACUGAUGGGAUUUAGUUAAGCUACUUCCUGACAAUUACUAUUGUUUUGGACUUCGGAUUGCUGUGGUUUGCGAUCGUUUAGUUAUUGGUUAUGCUCUUUGGAAUGGGCCUACUAGUUGAUGUCUAGUGAACUUUGAGGUCAAGUUUGGGUUUCCCGAUCCUUUUGUUGUUAGUGUAAGGGUCUGUUUGGAACUAACAACUAGUCCCAUCAGCUCCUAUAUGUGGACUAAUAGACUAACACUAGUCCAUGACUAGGAGAACAAUUAUUCUGUCUAUUUGGAUCGUUAGGGACUAAAAAUUAGUCAACUAGUUGUUAGUCCUAUGGACCCAAACAGGGCCUACUGAUGUCCAACUGGUAUUAUAGGAUCAUAGGAGUAACAAGAGUAGUAUUAGUGAUAAACUGUUAUAUACUCUUUAAUUUAUAUAUGACCUCAUUAUUUAUUUCAGUUCUUUGCUCUAGGGGAAUAGUUUCUUAGCAGCACUCCCAUAUAUAUUGUUGUUAUAUUUUUUGACGCAUCUAUUAAAUUAUGGUCAUGUGAUGUAUUUGUUGGUUAUCAUGUAGAUCGAUCAUACUUGACGAGUUUACAUAUAGCCUCCAAUCAUGCAGAGUCUUCAAUGUGGAUUACUUAAUGGUGUUUUGAAUGUAUGCAGAUAAUGAUCAAGAGGUUCAUCGUGAAUCACUGGAAGUUAUUCAGGAAGUAAGCAAAGUUACUUAUCUUGGAAAUGCUUUUUUUUUUGAUUUAUUGAAGUACAUUUUUUCUGUCUAUGGAGUCUAUUUUUAAUAUGUAUUAUGUCACUUCAAAUAAAAUGCUGCAGCUGUCAGAAGAAAAUGUAAUCACACCAGAUAACUUUUGUUAGUACUAUUAAACUCCCUUCUCUUAGUCUAUUACUGUUCAAAACCUAGAUCAUAUUGCUGAUCUAUCAGUGUCUGAACUGUGGAAUUCCACACCCCCACCUCAUGUCCCAGCUUCAGUGGUGAGCUCCCUGAUCCUCCUAUGCUGCUGGGAGCUCUGGAAACACCGACACGACGUCGUGUUCCGGAGCUUGGCUCCUGACCAAAACCGACUCGUGGCCACCCACAGAGAAGCGGUCAGGCUCUGGAGCUGCCGCCUACCAUGGAAGGACACUGUGCUAAUAGAUUGUUGGAGCUCGAUCUUGAAUAUGUAAUCCGUCCCUCAUCCUCUCUUUAACCUCACUGUAAUCAGAUUGGCUCCAUGCCCUUCCACCCCCUGGCUUUGCCCGGCAUCUGUGGAAUGAAAAUUCAGGUGGGGAGAUCUUACUUCCCCCUGGUGUUGACCUCAAAAAUACUGCCGAUCUAUAUUGGCUGCCUGCUUAAUAGCAUGCCUCAGAUGUUGCAAUGGUUCCUAUAUUCCCUAUGCAUAUCCUGCACUUUUGAUUUUAUCACAGCAAUGCUUUCAAGUUCAUAAAUGGUGGAUCUAGAAGGAUAAUGAUUGCUAACCAUAUUCUAUUUUGCCUUUUGUGUUACUUAUGAACUGCAAGAUUUUUUUAUCAGUUUCUACCUUGUUUUUCUAUGUUUUCUCCAUUUAUUUCCCAGUCAAGAUAUAUCUGUGUGUGAAUGUUGUCUUUAAUCUCUCACUCGGUAAUAUAAACUGUAGAGACACUCCACACAACCAAACAUCAAUGCUGCAGCCAUCCUACCACCAAGAUCUGUUAGCAAUACAUUCAAUCUGCUUCUGGAAGGUGACAGGAAUCCAAGUCAUGGUAAUGGGCUUGCUGACAUUGAGAACAUAAUCAACCAGAGCUAUUUUUCUAGGCAGGUUUUUCCGUACCUCCUGAGUUUUGACUGUUAUGUUAUAUAUAUUUUUAGUUCAUUGAAGUUGCUUCUAUCUUUUGAAAGGUAGAGUAAUGAACUUUCUAAUUUCCCCUUGAUUGCUUAAUUUGUUAUCCAAAUACACACUCUGAUUGAAAUUAUAAAUCAGUUUAUGAUAUGUAUUGGUAAAAUUAUAUAAAAUAAUUAUGUAGAUUGAAAAUAUAAAAUUGAUACUACUAGAUGCAUGAUUAAGAGGGCUUCUGCAAUUUAUAGUUCUUUUACUUGAAAUAAUAUAAUGCUGAAGAAUCACUAGUCAAAGUGUUGUUGGAGAUCGAAUCAGUGCCCUAAACUUACCUUUCCCCAAAAUGUAAAACCCCUGGGGGAAAUUGUAGGGCACAAUGGGUGAGUGGGAAUUGGAUUUUGAUGACAAAUUGUUGACACAGGUGUUGUUAUCAAAGGAUGUUACAUUCAAAUGUCAUAUCAUGCACAUUGCUUUUUUAUAUUAUUUUACUUCUUUCGAUUGACUGCCAUAACUGGAGUCAUCACACAUCACGUGGAGAAAGAUUUAUGUCUAUAUUGGACAACAUUUGUGGUUGCCUAGUAUUCUUGAGUUUAUUGUGCAUUUAGGUUUGGAACUUCAGAUCCCUGUGACCCUCUUUGGUCUUAUACAGGGAUGAGACACUACGUCUUAUAGAGAUCAUACGGUCAAGGACUGUUGAUAUUGGUGUUGAAGGUCAGAGACCUCCAGUAUCUACUGCAAAAUAUUUUGAAACAACAUCAUUUUCAACACCUGCCAAACUGAUUGAGGAUCAGCCAUCUUGGAGGACCGAUGUUGUUCCAUCAUCCAAUGUAAGAAUGACUUAACUGUGCAAUAUCAACUCAUGAUUACUUAUCUGUACAGGACAUAUUGGUGGAUACCUGCUGAUCCUGGUGCCUUUGUUAUUUCUAUGUGAUGUGAAUCCUGCCUAUAUGCUUUUGAAGUUCAAGUAUGCUUGUAGCUGAGUGAUAGUUUUCUGAUCUCUGUGUAAUUUAAAAAAUUGAUCCAAGCAUUUUAAUAUCCCUCCCUCUGAUAGCACGAGAGGGUGUGCUGGUCUGCUGGAGACUGGAGAGUUAUAUAUGCACAGUGCUUAAGCAAUACAAAAAUAAUCCUACGGGUUUUUUCGCUUGAUUUGUUGUUUUCUCUUAUCUUGUGCUUUAUUGUCAUUGUAGGUGCAUGAAAUUGGUUCUUCACCGAUUGAAAUUGCAAAAGCUUAUAUGGAAGCACAGACCUCAGCUUCUGUACAUGAGUACAAAAAACGGAAAUUCAGAGCUUUGAGUCAUGGAGUUGAGGAUGACAAUUCAACAUCAAAAGUUUUCCCUACAAUAACUACUGAUUCUUCUGUAUGCUUGCCUGGUUCAGUUGUUCGAGGCUGUCCCAAUUAUCUUACACCACAAAGUAAUAAAGGAAGGACCCUGCCUCAGCCUCUUUCUCGCACACCAUACAAUAGAUCAGUUUUUCGAAGAUAUAUUAAGGUGGCUAUUGACUUUGCAAUUUAUUUGUAUUCUAAGCUAUGCAAUGUCUCUUAUUUGUCAUCAACUGUGUCUAUCACUAUUUACUAGCAUUCAAAUAUUACCUUUGGAAGCUAAAAGGUUUCAUGCUUCUGUAACUACAGAACAGCAGGCAUGGUGAUACAUACAAUAAUGGACAGACACAAUUUUCCAUUCCAUUUUCUACUGGAAGUAAGGUACUAGCUAGUUGCCCGUCCAUUGCAACAGAUUUUCAUUAUGAAGUAUUCGAAAUUUGUUUAAUCGUUUAUCCAUAAUAAAGAAACCACACAGAUACAAGGUGGAAGACCAUCUGUUGCAUUAUUUGUACACCUACGUAUUCACAAAUCAGUGCAUAGUAGAUCCUUGUGUAGAAACCAACCACCUGUACCAACUGUUUUUUAUAGAAGUAAAGAUAAAUUUGAUGUAUUUUACUGUUAUCAUGAUACACACUUGUCUCUUUUGCUUCAUGAAAAUAAGAAACUUGGACAGAUUUAAGUCCACAUAAUUGUACUAUAUGUUGGAACUAUUUGUGCAUGUUUGUAAUAACUAAUCAAUUUUAUUCUGCCUUGUAUGUGAUUGAGUGAUAUUGUUCUCCGUUUGAAAGGUUGUCAAACCUGAUUGUAUUUGACUACUGCAAUUAUUGUACAACAUCCUCAAAAACUUUGAACAACAACCGACAACUGAAAAUCAGUUAUAACUUUGCUUGCUAUGUUUAGACCUUAUAAAAAUGCCGUCACAUGGGGAAAAAAUUAAUGUAAAGAUGUUGUACGGACAUCUGUACCUUUUUGUCUGAUAAUAUUCUUAUUUGCUUUAUAGACAAUACUAGAGGAUAAACAUGCAUCAAUAAGUGGUGGUAUGGUGCAGCCUUCAUCUUCCAGGGGACAGAUAGAUCUUUUUGAUUCUAUUCCAAGAGAAGGUUCUGCCGCAAUGAAGAAUGUUGCAUUCAACUUGCAAGGGUCAGAUGACAAAAGCAUGACAGAAAGUAGAGCAACUUUUGGACGUGUUUCAGGUGUAGACAAUAUCUCCAGGGGUGCUUCAGUAUCUGUUCAUCCCAAGUCAAGUGAAACAGCUUUCAAAAUACUUAAGCAACUUGACAGAACUAUUCCUUCCCCUACAUCAAAGCCACUAGGGCUGAGACAGACAUUAGCCAAGAGAAAUACUUCUUCUGUUGCCACCAACAGACAGAUCAAUGGGCCUGAUUUCAGUAUCGGUAAUGGUAAUAGACAGAGCAGCAUUAAUGAGAGUGGCAGUGCUAACUCGGAGACUACAUAUGGAAAGAAGGUAUAUACUCCGAUUUGCAUUUUCUAGCACAAUCUACUGUACCACUGUUUACUAAUUGUACAUGUUAUGAGGGCAAUGAAAGAUUUUUAGUGAUCUUGCCAAUAGGUACUCUGAAUCUUGUUUGAACAUAAAAUCAAUUGUAUACAUGCACUACUGAAUUACUGAAAAAUUGCUAUAUGCACUUCUAAUUGUUGUAUUGCAAUGCAAAACAGAAAUUUUCUCCUGAUCAUUUACUUUAGUUUGUUCUCUACUGCUAUUUUCAGUUGAUCACUGCAGAUUGGAUCAGUUAAUCAAUUUAGCAGAUCCCUGGUAGCAUCAAACUAUAGAUACUCCACUAAUCAGUUGGUUGUGUUUCACCUUGUGUAGGUUCAGCAACCUCAAAGCAGUCCUAUUGCAGAAGAGUCAAGUGAAAAAGUCCAGAGAAGCAGAGCUAACUCAGAUGUUUCUGAAGCAGGCACUUCUCAGCAGCCUCGGAAAUCAAAUUUAGCACCCACUUCAGUUGCGGAGGUCUUGAAUAAUAAAAACACUAGCAGAGGUUUCAGCUUCACAUUUCCUAUUCCUAAAGCUCCAAGUUCUCUACUUGAACCGCCACCUACACCAACUAUGGCUUCACCACCACCGACCCUGCCAAUCACUAAUGAAGAUAUUCCCAAGUUCACUUUUGGCUCACCCAGUACUGCCAACAAACUCGUUUUCUCCUUCAACUCCACAAGCAGUUCUCUUGGUGCUGGGGGAACAGACCCAACCUUCAAAUUUGGAUCUGAUAAUAAGCGAGAGCUUGUGUUUUGAUAUAGUUGGCAAAGGUGCAGUUUGUUUUUGAUAGAUGCCAUGCCAGCGGAUCUGUAUUCUACCUCUCUUUCUAUUUUUGGCGUGUUGUUGAAAGACGUCUUUAGAAAGACCGUUGGAUGCGCUACUUGAACUAUACAUGAGGACAUUCGUUUCAUUUAUCAGUAAUUCAGUAUAUUCAAACUUUUUUUUAUACAUAUUCUAGGCGUUCUUCGUUGGCAGGAUAUUUCCCCAGUGAUUUGCACCCGUGGCUGUGUCAUUGGGCAUUAGUCCUUUUGUUCUAUAAUUUUGAAGCUUUCACAGCUGAAUGGAGUUCCACCAUCCUUUUGGUCCAAGGUAUGUGAUCUGUCACUGCUGAAUGCUGAUAUAAUCCGUUGAAAAGCGCUGCUUUCUUGGCAAAGCACGUUUGAAACUGCGCAUUUUUGACGCAUGAAUGCACCAGCCGGUUUAUGAUGGUAACCAAAAGGCACGAGGAUGGCCUGGUUUCUAAAGACAGGAGUCCGAGUCAUGAAAACGACGUGUUGAUGCGGAAACAGUUGCCUGAUUGCAUCGCAUACACAGACACAGGCUGGAGUCGCCUGGACUGAUUGAUGUCGCCACUGAACCGAAAGCAUGGCGAAAUUUUGCCCAAAUAAUGGUGCCAUACACGUAACCGGGUACGUGUGCAUAUCUGGGGAUUAUAUUUCGUAGCUUCCUGAAGAAAGCUCCACACAUCAAAACUGGAUGCUGGACAAAAUUUCAAUCUUGCUAUUGUAAAUAGACACAAUUUGAUGACACUAUGCAGGAAGGAAAAGUAGACGAGCAGGUACGACUCGAGCAAGACGCGUCGGUCGGCCUGAAGAGAGGUUGGAAAGAAUCUAGUCUGUCAGUCCGUGCAUUAUUCUGUUCUUCCCUGCACUGAAGGUACUAUAAUUGAGCACUGAAGGAAGCGUCAGAUCGUCCGAUUAGGGCCUUGUUUAGUUCCAAUUUUUUUUUGGCAAAAUGAGCACUGUAGCAAUUUCGUUUGUAUUUGACAAAUAUUGUUCAAUCAUGGACUAACUAGGCUCAAAAGAUUCGUCUCGUCAAUUCCGACUAAACUGUGCAAUUAGUUUUUAUUUUUAUAUUUAAUACUUCAUGCAUACGUCUAAAGAUUCGAUGUGACGGAGAAUCUGAAAAAUUUUGCAAAAUUUUUGGGAACUAAACAAGGCCUAGCUACGUUUCACCAACUAGUAGUAGUAGUACUACUAAUAAUCACUCGGCCAGGACUGGGCCAAGCUAGCUAGAGUACGUUCACUCGAGUGCAGUGCAGGCCAGUACGAGCUAGGAGCGUGUCCUGACGGGCAUCACUCGACUGGUGUCUGGCCGGGAAGACCGACCAGCCCGACCCGAUCGGUCAUUAAUGUAGUCAUUCACUAAUGACGCGUCAUUAUCGCCUAAUGAUGCCCUGUAUCUCUCCCGUAGCUUCAGAGGAUCCAGCGUCGCUUUCUCCGGCGGGCCCCGGCUUGACGACGGGCACGAAAUUCCGGUGUGCCCCAUGCAUCAGCCAUGGAAUCAUGGAUCAUCAUAUCAGGGUCUUGUUUAGUUCUAAAAAAAUUUUGUAAAUUUUUUCAGAUUCUUCGUCACAUCGAAUCUUUAAAUAUAUGCAUGAAGUAUUAAACAUAGACAAAAAUAGAAACUAAUUGCAUAGUUUGGUCAAAAUUGACGAGACGAAUCUUUUGAGCCCAGUUAGUCUAUGAUUGGACAAUAUUUGUCAAAUACAAACGAAAAUGCUACGUGUCGAUUUCCCUAAUUUUUUUUUAAAACUAAACAAGGCCCACGAUCCAGUGACGCCAUCGCGGGCCCUCCGCCGGCCCGGCCGGAGAAAAGCUCCGCGCGCGAUGCCAUACGGGUGCACGGUCGCCGUCACGCAACCGGCCGGAGUGCCGGACAACUAGGGUUUCGCAACUGCUGGCCGACCACGGCCUCUCUCCUGGCCGGGACGACGACGACACGAUGGCUUGCCAGCCUUUUCCGUUCCAACGCCUACGGUUAUGCCUUUUUCUCAGCUACGUUACAAACACCUUUCUUUAAGUUCUUUUAUUUUGUUUACAUCUGUUUUUUUUCUCCAAACAUCCUUUGAGGACUUCUUUGCAAAACUAAACUCUCUCGUAGUUUCGUUUCUACAUUUCCAGACUUUCUUCAGUCAGUCAAUGGCGAGGUCUUCAGUCGGAUGCCAUUAGCAAAGCAGCAGUGCAUCUUGGAAAAAGAACUUUGUGGUAGUGAGUGUCAUGUCAUAGCAGGGCUUGUUUAGAUCCAAAAUUUUUUUGGAUUUUGACACUGUAGCACUUUCGUUUUUAUUUGACAAACAUUGUCCAAUCAUAGAGUAACUAAGCUUAAAAGAUUCGUCUCGCGAUUUACAGACAAACUGUGUAAUUAGUUUUUAUUUUUAUCUAUAUUUAAUGCUCCAUGCAUGUGCCGUAAGAUUCGAUGUGAUGGAAAAUCUUUUAAAGUUUUGGGUUUUUGGAUGCAUCUAAAGGCCCUACUGUGGUGAUGACCACUCUUAAAAGCACCACAUCACCCUGGCAUGGCAAAGCUUUUGGGUACCUAAUGAAUAUUAAAUUAGUAUUAGUAUUGCACCGUCAGCACCAAGGAAAACGUAUAUAAAUGGCGACGAUGCUGCUUAGGCACAACAGAAGUUGGCUUUUAGGGCCACUAACACGGUACGGUGUUCACCGGAAUCAAACAAUAAAGGCUUGUUAUGAAGGAAAUAAAAAUAUCAUAAAGGGCUAGACGCGUGUGUAAUUCCACUUUGUUGCCUUGUUGGUUGAUAUGUUUUCUAACGACAUCAUCUCACCUUUCGCUCCACCAACUCUAGUCCUGGAUACCAACACCGAAUUUCUUAUUACUCUGCUGCAAAUCCUUUUAUAUUUUAUUUUAGGGAGACCUUUUCACGAGUGGUCAGAGAAGCUGUGCAAUACUUUGUACAUAACCGCUUUCUUGGAAAGUCAUGAUAUCUAGGUACAAAUUGUCCAAUUUGAGGUUAAUUAAAUUUGUAGGGAACAUGCCUAGUGGUUUGCAAAUGUGGUUCCAAGCCUAUUUAUGUGCACACUAGCCAUUUUCAUUGUAUUGAUCUAAGCUAACAAUUUUCUUAAAAUCACAUAGCUUUCCUAUUCAAGCAAGGCAUUUCAUGUGGAUUUUUUUCCUAAUAACAUAUUUCAAAUUACAAGCUCUAUUUUUUUUUGGGGGGGGGGGGGGUUACAAGCUCUAUAGGAAAAAUAUGAUAGAGCUCUACAUAUCAGUUUUGUUAUUCAUUUCCCAUCUAACAUGCACCUAGAAAUAGGAUGCAUAAAAGAGUAUACCAUCAAAUGCUUUCGGAGGGUGGGGAGGAGGGGGAUUGCAAAACCGCAAAAGAAAGGCAAUUUAUGCUGAUGCCAUGCCAAACAAGCUAGGAAUAUACAAAGAUCCAUACGAAAUACAAAGUACCAUUCCUCCUUUCUUUCCUAUCAUUUCUAGUGUGAUCAAGAAUCCAAAAGUUGCAAAGUGGGUUGUGUCAUCCUUCCAUAUGUUCUCACGCUGCAAUUAUCAUGCCCAAUCACCCAUCCACUUACAAUUGAUCCAACCUUUUUGGAUAUCCUUUUUGGCUAAGGAUACUCUUGAACCCACAUCCUUCAUAUAUGCACGACCACACCCUUUUGUUUUUCAGGAUGAUCAUAUUCAUAUACACCAAGAAAACAAUGGAUUCACAUUACUAUAUUUUAUUCUCUAAUAAGUCGGUACUCAUUUUCACAUAUGAUUUCGAGACAUGGCCCCCAUUAUGAUAUCUAUAGGUGUGAAUUGCUCAUUUUAAGGCAAGAUUCGCAAGGAACAUGUAUAGUUAUCUACCAACGGUGUUAAAUACCCAAACUAGCCAUUAAAUUUUGUUGUUUUAUGCUUAUAAAAUUUCUGAAAUUUGCAUAAGUUUCUUAUUAAAUUCAGACAUUUUAUGUGGAACUUUUUCAUCCUAAUAACACUUAAAUCAGAAGCUCUAAAUGAAAACAUGAAAAAAUGUUAUAUAUAUUCAUUUCCUAUCCAACAAGCACCUAGUAGGACUACGAAACAUAAAAGAUUAUAACACAAGAUUCUUUCAAAGAAGCGGAAUGCAAUUAAAACCACAGAAGAGCCAAUUUCUCUAUAUCAUUGGACCAUGACAAGAACAAAUAGGGAUCUACAAAUUAAAUAUCCAACAUGACCUCCAUAUGAAAUACAAAGUAGCAUUCCUCUUUUCAUCCCACUCAUAUCUCAUGCGUUAACAUGUCCAAAGCUAGCAAAGUCGAGUGUAUUAUCCUUCUGUCUAUUCCUACCCUUGCAUUACCAUUUUUCCAUUAGCUUAACAAAGUCACCAUCCACUUACAACCAACCCUACUUUCCCAGACAUCUAUUUGGCUAAGGAAACCCUUAACCUAAGUCUACAUCCAGACGAUCAUAUUUAUAUACAUCAAGAUAAUCAUAGAUCAACAUGAUCACAUUACAGUUCAUCUCCAACAAGUUGUUAUUCCUUCCACAUCAACACAUGGGCCCUACCUAGUUAUCAAACAUAGAAGGCGUGUGCCUAACCAAGAGGCUAUUCAUAUUGACUCUAUUGUAUGCAUCUCACGACUCACAUUUAUCCUUCAAUCCUUACACUAUGACAUUCCUAUUCCACGUGAAUGCUUCCCGUGAAAGGCUGUUAAUGCUCUAUUUAGAUAUAGGGUCCAUAUAAUCGAGCCGCAUUUACGUAGCCGCGGUCGGGGAUUGCCGAUUCACCCACCACAUAAAAUGAACUACCCGUAGUUCAGCCACCACGUGAUUUUCUCCACCACCCUCCAAACGUCUUGGAGUGGGCUAACCGAGAAUUGGAUUUUUAGUUCAAACCGAACCAAACCUAAGUAUACCCUUGAGAAGCUUAGACAAUUAUUAGACUUAGACUCACCCACUCCAUCUACUUGCUUAAGCAAAUGGAGAAGAUUAACGCCCAUCUCUAAUACAGAACAAAAGGCAACCACAAAGAAGAAUAAAGAAGUCCAAGAGGCAUGGUUUCAAAAGAUAAAAUAAAAAUAAAUCCAAGGGUUGGCAACGUACACGAUACACCUAUACACUUUGAAGGGGUGAUCCGCAAAACGGCCACGGAAAAAAAGGCCACCCUGCUCGUCCCCACCAUCGCCGGUCCACGACACGCACGCACAGAGCACCACACCACCACACCACCGCCACGGCGCCUGCCCCUGUGACCCCUGUCCUACUCCUCUGCCCACCCGGCUCGGCUGCUUCCUCAAUCCUCCCCCUCCCCCUCCCCCUCCCCCUCCCCCACUCCCCUCUGCGUUUUCAAAAAUCAAACCCCAGCCGGAACGGCGAAACCCCUUCCACCAUAGCCCAGAGGAGAGAGAGUGUGUGUGAGAGACGGAGCAGCAGUUGCGGUUUCCCUCUCCGUCGCUCUCGCCGCCCGCCGCCGGCUCCGUGCCCGGAGCGCAAGGCGGGCCCGGCGGCAAGGUCCUCCGCUCCGUCCCCUUCACUCCCGACCGGCGUCCCCGCUUCGUUGGUUCGCCAAUCUACUUCGUCCGCCCACCCCUUUUUCCCCCGAUCGAUCUCUCGUUCUUGCUAAGCAAACCAUCUUAACCCCUCUCCCUCGUGCGAGAUUAGCCAGGAGAAAGUUCCCCGCUUUUCCACCAGGCAUGCUUCCACCGCCUUGCUUUGCUGCUUGACUGCUUGCUGCUGUUGUGCGGAGUGUUAAAGAAGGCGGCGCCGGAGUCAAGAUUCCUUCUUCGCCCUUCUUGUUGCCGUUGUUAGUGGUUUUGUUUGUGAUUGCGGCUGCCCUGGAGUCGCGGUGUGUGUGAAGCGAGGGAUCCGAGAUUCUUGUGGAUUCUGUUCUCCUUUUUCCAUCGCUGCCGAUUCUCUCCCGUGCGACAGCACAAGCGGCGGCGGCGUGGGGAGAGCAGCCGCCGUGCCCGGCCUUGGAGGGGCCCAGUCCGUCUAUGGAACUUGCUGCCUCGGUGCCACGCCCCGGCCCGGAACCGAAGUGCUCAGCAAGGCGCUGCUUGCCUGCCCCUCUCACGCUGCUGGUGUCCAUUGUGGCAGUCUCCUGUUUGAUUCCUGCUCCUCGCUGAUCGAUUUCUGGACUGCGAUGAUGGUGCCGCGAACGGUGCUGCUCCUUUGCUGCUGCCUCCUGGCGUUCUUGCCACUUGGUACUGACAUUUUCCUUUUGUAAUACAUAUUCAGUUCAGUGAUUUAGUGUUGUCAGUGUUCAAUUGGCGGCAAUUGCGAUAGAUGUUGUUACUAUUCCUGGUGUUCCCGCCACCUGGUACUGACAUUUUCCUUUAUGAUACAUAUUCAGCUCAGUGUUUAGCGUUGUUGUGUUCAAAUGGCGGCAAUUGCAAUAGAUGUUACUAUGUAACGAAAGUGCCUAUUUUUGUUAUACUGAAAUUUGAUUGGUGGUGUUUGUUGUUACUAGGUCCGCUAGCCGUUGAAGCUUUUGUAGGGGGUUAUGGGAUAAACUACGGGAGAAUAGCAAACAACAUCCCUUCCCCUGAUAAAGUGGUGGAGCUCCUGAGGAGAGCAAAGAUAAGGAAUGUUAAGAUAUAUGACGCCGACCACAGCGUUCUCGAUGCGUUCAAAGGGUCUGGGAUCAACCUGGUCAUUGCAAUCCCCAAUGAGCUUGUCAAGGAUAUGGCUGCAAACACAAGUCGUUCGAUGGACUGGCUAAAUCAAAAUGUGCAGCCUUAUCUCCCUCAGACUCGCAUCGUUGGGAUCACUGUGGGAAAUGAGGUGCUGGGAGGCCAGGAUCAAAGCUUGUAUCAGCCACUUGUUGAUGCUGUGAAGAACGUGUAUGAUGGACUCAAGAGGCUCCACUUGGAGAGUAAAAUUGAGCUUUUCACACCUCAUUCGGAAGCUGUUUUUGCUACUUCUUAUCCACCCUCCGCAUGUGUGUUCAAGGAAGAACUCAUGGCAUACAUGAAACCUCUCCUCGACUUCUUUGCAAUGAUUGGCUCACCUUUUUAUGUGAACGCAUACCCCUUUUUGGCUUACAUAAGCGAUCCAGAACAUAUCGAUAUCAAUUAUGCUCUCUUUAAACCCAACAAGGGAAUAGUUGACCCGAAUACUAGCCUGCACUAUGACAACAUGUUUGAUGCUCAGAUAGAUGCAGCUUAUGCUGCUCUACAUGCUGCUGGUUAUGAUGACAUGGAGGUUCGGGUGGCAGAGACUGGCUGGGCUUCUAGUGGGGAUCAAAAUGAAGCAGGAGCUUCAUCUGAGAAUGCAAGGACAUAUAAUUUCAAUCUUCGUAAACGGCUAUUUCUGAGGACGGGAACUCCUCUGAAGCCAAAGAGACCAGUCAAAGCAUAUAUAUUUGCCUUGUUUAAUGAGAAUCAGAAACCUGGAGCUGGCUCUGAGAGGCAUUAUGGGCUGUUCCUUCCUGAUGGAAGGAUUUCAUAUGACAUUGGUGUCUCAGGUCUACUACCUUCUUCUGCAUCCUCAUCCAUGCUGUUCAUUAAGGUAAGCAAUGGAUUCUUGCCCUUUUAGGUUAUGCUACUGAUUCUGUAAUGUAUUUAUUGUUGAUUCUCAUUAGAUGACUGUUGACUUGGAUUGAAAUGUAAAUGAGUCUGCCCGAUUGUUGAACCAUAUUUUGAUACCGGGAAUUUGGGAUGGUGGUGUUAAGAUGGUAGUUAAUGAACAACAUAUAGUUUCCGGUAUCUAUAAUAUUAUUGCUACUGUGGAAGCAACAUGUUGCUGCCACUAGUAUGCUGGGUCUGUUAUAUGAAAAAUUGUAUGUUGAGGACAGCAUGUCCUAGGUUUUAGACCAUAAAUUUGAUUUUUGAUGUUGUGCAAACAUGUUCGGUAUUGGAAUAUUAGAAAAUUGUACAAGAGAGAAGGUUUUGGUAAAGACUGAGGGACAUGAAGCUUAAUUGGUAUCCAUGUUUGGACAUUAGUGUGGUUCCUGAAAUCCCAGUUCUUGUAUAAUUUGGACAUGUGCAUACCCACCCUUAUUUCCAUUGUUUUAAUAAAACAAAAAUGACAUGAAGUGAACAAUUAGCGUUCAUACUCAAUAAAACAUAAUGAUCAGAAAUAGCUUUUAUAACCUCUGCAGUUAACCCUAUUAUUCUCUUUUUAUAAAAGUAUAGCAAGUCCCCAGUCUUUCCCAUCAAGUAACUCAAUAAUUAAGACACUGGGAUUGAAACUUAGUACAAAAAACUGUAGGUAUCUCAUUUCUGGCCUCUUGUGCUUUUUUUUUUUUUUGGAACGACCAGUCUCAUGCACUUUAUUGUGACACAACAAUUGUCUGUGGUGUGUGGUCUCCAUUGAAGUCGUGCUUAGUUUGGGUCAUUAUUUAAUAAAUAUGAUCCCAGCUGAUGUAAUUUUCCUAGUUUUGUAAUCAUUUUAUAUUUCCUAAAUUCCAGUGAUGUAUAUCAUGUGUACAUUUGAUUCUGAUGCCACAGAAUGCUAAUAGUCAAAGGUAAUCUGACUUGAGCAUGUUAUUUCUAUUUGCAGAAGGUUCGAGCUGGGGGUUGGAUUUUACACUAUUGGGCUACAGUUCUUUUAUGUAUUUUCAUUCUUUUGGGGCCAUAGUGACUUGAGGACGGCAUAACACAUCCGUAGUAAAGGUACAACUGAGCAAGUUAGAAUGUUGGGAACGGGAAGCUCACAAUGAAAAUCCAAAUAAUAGUAUCAUGCAUAUGAGUUCCGUUUCUUGCAAUAAUCUCUUCUCUAGAUGCUGUCCUGCUUUGCUGCUUAAAACCAUAUUUUUUUUUUCUAAAAAAUGAUUCAUACCUGCUGAAAACCAUGCUCAGUUUAUCUAUUUCACUCUGUGUUUUUUCUUUUUCUAAAUGAACCCUCACCCAGCAUUCACUAUACAUAUUUUAUUUUAGCAAGUCAAAAUGCUAUAUCAAACUAAUAACCAUGUGAAAGACAGUUCUCUAUCAUAGCAACUUCUAGCCUCAUAGCAAUUUGUUUUCCAUUUCUAACAAUCAGGUUAUAGCUCGAGCUUGGAUACCUUAAAUGUUUAUUAUUUUUCAUUUGGGAUGAUGUGCAUCAAGCAGACAGCCUGACAAACCAUUGUUCGUUUUUGGCUCUGUUUGGAAUGCUGGAAUUUCCCUGUCCCUGCGUUUUUCUUGUGAAAACGAACUGAUUCCUAUGAAAUUCCUGUGCAAUUCCGGCGUUCCAAACAGGCACUAAGUAUCGCAUCUUGACAUAUCAGUUACCAGUAGACACUCAAAGCAGAUGGUGACUGAAAGAAUAGCAUUUGGUUUUGUGGAUGGUUUGGAGCCUUGAUGGUUUGCAUGCACACCUAUCCUGUGAUCUGUUCAAAGGUAUUAAAAAGCAACAGGUGCAGAACCUCAGAGAAUAUACAUAUAGAUAUCAAAAGGCAUCGAAGGAUAGAUAUGUAAUGUUGUUGCCUGGUUUGCCGAGUGGUUCUAUAGAUUGAUCAAAGCUCCAGCAUAUUGUUAAAGUUCGCUGAGUGGUCCCAUCCAUUGCUUAAUGAUACUAUUCUUUAAUGAUCAUAUGGUACUUUAUGUUACCAAGUCUGUAAAAACUGCGGGGAUAGUCUCCCCCCACCGGCUGAGUUUCUCUCUGUAAAGAAUGGAGUUAAUGCAAAACAUGUAUGGUUAUUGUUUUAAGGGUGUUUGGUUUGAGCAAUCACCCAAUCCUAACCCCGAGGAACUCGCAUGAUGAGUUUGUUCCGUGAUUUUAAUGGAAUGACUUAAUUCCUCAUGUGUGUAUUAAUUAUUAGCUUGUGAGCAAUAAGGUGGUUGGAGAUCAACCUAUUUUAUUUCACAAAUCAAGCAAAAAAUGAGGAGCGAGAGGACCAUGUAUCACUAUUUCUUGUACGAAACACACCCAUCAUGCCAUAUUGCCAUGUCCUUUGUUCACAUGAUGGGCAUUGGUUACCACUGAAGUAAUCAUAUCUUAACCAUAUCCUCAUAAAUUUCUUUCUUAACCCGGUCUAGUGAUAUAGUGGUCACUCACACUCCUUUCAUUCCCUCCCGUCCUUUGUUUCUCGAAUCUUUUGAUCUUUUGUGUAAAGAAGAGUAUAUCAAGAGAAAAGGUAAAACUUUUUUGCAUAUCCUCCUAUCGUCUUUAUAGCCCCUGCUUUAGACAACAAUUAUUUUCUUUGUUCCAUGCAAUAUCUAAUGCUUUAUAUUGCUCGUGAGUCGUGAGGUAUACUUUGGUACAUGCUCAGUCAGUGAGCACCUGAGCAUAGGAUGCUAUAUAUGCUACUGUAUUGACAUCUGACAUGUGACUAAAGAUUAGCAACAGAUUAUUUUAGCCAGGGAUUCUCUACCCUUGUACUGGCCAUCGACAUGAUAUGCCUCGUAAUUCCAAAAAAAAAAAUGAUAUGCCUCGGAGUUUAGACGUGCAGUGUUCACUGAAAUUUACAGCCCGGUGAAAUUUACAAUCAUUGCUUUGCGUUGGCAAAGGUCAAUUGCCACAGAAGUAUCAAGUGCCACAAGUGUCUAAAGAAGCAAUAAAAUGAUCAAAUGAAAUACAGACCAAAAAGGACGCAGGUAAGUGAUCCUCAAGCACCCGGUUUUUUGUUCUUAAGUGCAUCUCCAGUCGUUUGACAAAAUUAGUUUUCCAAAUCUUAUUGUUUGCCAACUCCCAAAACAAUAUGGAGAGGAAAAAAUUCUCAUCUCCAACAGUUUGACAAAUUCCGUUUCUAAUAACCCAAAAACCCGCAAACGAAACGAAGAGCCCCGCUAAGCGAACGAAGAGUCCCGCUAAACGAACGAAGAGCCCCGCUCAGCAUGAGGAGAAAGACAGAUGCCAAGUACGGAGCCCGUGCGUAUAUUGACGCGCUAGACAGGGAGAUAUGCUAAGUUAGAAAAGAUGAGGAAUUGAGAUGCCAAACUGUUAGAGAGUGUUUUUUCUCAUUUUACAAAAAAAAAAAUUAUAGAUGAGAAGUCAUUUGCCAAACCGUUGGAGAUGCUAGUACAUCCUCCAUUCAAAUAAAUGUCGUUUAUAUCGGUUUUCAGCAGAUAUGGUUUCUUAUCUAAGGGUAUUUUUGGUUUUAGGAUGGGUUAGGUCUAUCCUAAUUUCCUAUGAUGGAAUGGUUCCAUCUUUAUGUUUGGUGGAGAAGAUGGGGGACUCCUUGCUCUAUGUUUGGCUUGAGAGCAGCACCCCACUGGCUCGGCUUGGGGGUGUUGCCCUCAAGCCAAGAGCCCACGUCGCUGUCUUAGCCUAUGGUCACUCCCCUAGUGUGUCGUGAAUGAUGAAGGAAGACUGGACAAAAUAAAAAAAGAAUGAAAGAUAUUGAGACAAAGGCAUUUUUUACUUAAUGUAUAGUUUAAUAGUCUAUAUUUAUAAUAAAACAUAUGAUAAAAAAAUAAUGUUGUAUACUUUAAUUGAUAUCUUCUAUACAAUAAAAUCACACGAAACAUAAUGAGUAUAAAAUAGUUUGAUUUAUGCAAACUUAUUUGCCAUUUUUUCUAAACUAGCAAAAUGCCCGUGCAUUACAAUGGGAAAAAAAGCUAUUAAAUCUAUAUCUAUAUCUCUAUUACCUAAUUUUAUAUAUAUAUAUAUAUAUAUAUAUAUAUAUAUAUAAUAACAAAGAGGCAAAAUUUCAGCCUUUUUUUGUCCAUCUAUUUUUUGUUCAGCUCCCUCUAACUACCAGACAAUACAGAGUUUUUUUUGUCCAGACUUAUAUAAUUCGUGCUUAUACGAGUUAAAAUAGCUCUUGUCUAACAUGAUAUGGAGUUUGAUUCCAGUUUUAUAUAGGUCUAUAUAUGGUAACCUUGAUAGUUAGGAGUCCUAAUCCUAAUAUAAAUGGAUUACGUCAAUCUUUUGAUUAAGCUAAAUAGAAAUUCUAAUUCAUGAUAUGGUGUUCGAUUUCAUUUUUAUAUAGGUCUUAUAUUAUAUAUGGUAGCUUUGAUAGCUAGGAAGAGUCCUAAUCCUAAUAUUUUGAGUAAACUAAAUAGGAAUUCUAAUUUAAGAGGUUCCAUACCUAUAUUUAGUCUUCUCCAGCAACGAGACCUAAAAGAAAACACUCUCUGCAAAUGGGUCUCGAGGAGAGAGAAUACCCAAAUUUGGGUUAUGCCUCUCAUGAUACCUAAAAUGGGUUUUCUGUGUGGGUACUCUGUUGGAGGCUAUAGGUAUUGUGUUGGAGACCCAUUUUGGAUUUUGGUUUCAAAUGGGUCUCCUAUUGGAGACAGCCUUAGACAAGUUAGAAUAGCUUUUGUCUAGCGUGAUAUAGAGUUUGGUUCCAAAACUUAUUAGGUCUGAACCGAAACUCUAGGUUCCUAAUCUAUAUUUAUAUCUAUAUCUAUUCUUUCUCCAAUAUAUAAUUGUCAAAAUUUUUAGUUUACCAGAAAAUUCUGUCCGCCAACUCUUUGUUGCUAGGUUCGAUUCGAACUACGUUUGGACUCGUUCUAGAUGGAAUUGGUUUGCUAUUGAGUUUGGUUAUAACUAGAUUUAACCAGAUAAUGUAGUAGUCCGAGACAGGACAGAUAAAAAAUAAUAGAAAAAAAGAUAAACAAAUAGAAUAGAAAAAUUUAUAUCUUUUUUAUUUGGAUUACUUAAAUAAUCUAUUUGUAUUAGGAUUAGGAUUAGGAUUUCUAGCUAUCAAGAUUACCCUAUAUAGUAUCAAUAUAAAUAUGAAAUCAAACUCUUGAAUUAGAAUUUAUAUUUAGCUUACUCAAAAGAUUAAAAUAAUCUAUUUAUAUUAAGAUUAGGAUUUUUCCUAGCUAUCAAGGUUACCAUAUAUAGGACCUAUAUAAAACUGGAAAGUUAUUUUAACUCGCGUAAGCACGGGUUAUAUAUAAUUUUGGACGAAAGAAACUUUACAUUGUCCGGUAGUUAGAGGGAGACAAACAAAAAAAUAAAUGGAUAAAAAAUAGCCUAAAAUUUUGCCUCUUUGUUAUUAUAUAUAAUUAUGUAAUAGAAAUAUAGAUAUAGAUUUGAUAACUUUUUUCUCCCGUUGCAACGCACGGGCAUUUUUGCUAGUAGAAAUUCUAAUUCAUGAUAUGGUGUUCGAUUUCAUUUUUAUAUAGGUCUUAUAUUAUAUAUGGUAGCUUUGAUAGCUAGGAAGAGUCCUAAUCCUAAUAUUAAUAGAUUACUUUAAUCUUUUGAGUAAACUAAAUAGGAAUUCUAAUUUAAGAGUUUGAUUCUUGAUUUAUAUUAACACUAUAUAGGGUAACCUUGAUAGCUAGGAAUCCUAAUCCUAAUCCUAAUCCUAAUAUAAAUAGAUUACUCAUCUUUAAGUAAUCCAAAUAAAUUUUCUAUUUUUUCAUCCGUUACAAAGCAUAUAAAUAUUUAGAUAUAAUUAUAUUGUAGCUUUAUUUUUUCAUACUAUCCACGUGUUUGUACAAGUCAAUAUCGACCUUUGUAGCUUUUUCGAUGCAUCAUAUCAACCUCCGUAACUUUUUAUUGAUGUGACAAGGACCUUAUAUAUGGUAACAUUGAUAGCUAGGAAGAGUUCUAAUCCUAAUAUAAAUAGAUUACUUUAAUCUUUUGAGUAAACUAAAUAGAAAUUCUAAUUUAAGAGUUUGAUUCUAGAUUUAUAUUGACACUAUAUAGGGUAACCUUGAUAGCUAGGAAUCCUAAUCCUAAUCAUAAUAUAAAUAGAUUACUCAUCUUUAAGUAAAAAAGAUAUAAAAUUUUCUAUUUUUUUCGUCCGUUACAAAGCAUAUAAAUAUUUAGAUAUAAAUAUAUCAUAACUUUAUUUUUUUCAUACUAUCCACGUGUUUGUACGAGUCAAUAUCGACCUUUGUAGCUUUUUUGAUGUAUCAUACAACCUCCGUAACUUUUUAUUGAUGUGUCAAGGACCUUUUUCGAUUUUCGACAGCUGAAUUACAUAAAUACAUUUGUUUAGACUUAAUUAGACACUAAUCUGUCUAAGAUUCCAGUUCACAGAAUAAUUAGUUCGACCAUUGACUAAUCCAUAUUUUAAUAAAAAUAAGUUUUGUUUCUAAUCAAAACUACAUCAUAUUUUUUUAGAAAAAAAACUACAUGGUGUAAAUCUUUGUUUUAGUCAAUAGGUUUAAAGGCCCAUAAUGUUGUAUCUACUAUUAGUUCUUCACGUUUAUUUAUUUUUUUGAAACCGCUAGAGUGAGUUAUAACAGGUGGAAGAAGAUAGAUAAAAACCCAGCGAAGCAAACAACGAGCCAGAAAACAAAAUUCACAAGCACAAAAACUCAAAACAAAAAAAUAUCAAAAACCAAACAAGAAACAAGAUCAGAUCAGUCCACCCAGGUAUUAUCUUUUAAGCCUUGAAUUCUUGCAAGGAAGAACGAUCCAGAGCCUUCAUGGCCUCGUCUGGUGGUUCCAAGCCGGCGCUGUAGUGUGGGUUCUACCUCCAAAAUACAAAAAUAAUCCAGCACCGGCUGUAAUCGCUUUUCUAUCUCUGAAGUUGUCGCCCUCCACUCCCAUCACCGCUCUUCCCUCUGAAGUUGUAGCUCGAGCUCCUCAGUCCUCACCACAGCCUCCCCAUCUGCUUCCACCGUCGUCCUUGCGCUCUUGGUGAGCAUGGUAGAAGACUCUUCUUGGAUCUCGCAAGCGCGUCUUCCCUGCGCUCCCGGUGGUCGUCGCCGAUGCCCUGCAAGCAGCUCGGAGCCCUCAGCCCUGCCCACCGGAGGCCGUCAACACUGGCAGCGACAGCGACAUCGGCUGUGGAAAAAUCAUUUUUUUAUUUCCUAAGAUGGCCUCGAUCCAGUGCUUUUGUUCAUUGAUCUACUCCUCUAGUCCUUUCGUGCCUGGAUCUAUUUGGUUCUAUAUACUUUUGCGCCUCGGUCUAGUCUUUGAUAAGGACUCCAAUAAUUUGAAAAUUGCAUGAUUCAUAUUUGUAUUUAUUAGUUUAUUGGCUAUUCGAUUACAUCUGAUUCGGUGUAUGAGUUGUAUCUGGACUUGCCUCCACUUACUAUUGCAGCAACACGGAGGGAGGAAGAUGAAAGAAAUUGAAUAGAAUAAGAAACAACCGAAACUAAUUUGACAUGGACACAUGAUAAAGGAAUAUAGAUUAGGCUGGACGAAACUAAAAGAAACAGUAAAAAUUUUAAGGUAUAGAUUUUUUUCUUUGAUUUUUGAUAGAGUUUGAUUUGGAGAAGUCUAAUUGAGAGGAUUCUUUUCUUUUUUUUUUUGUCUCGCAUCCAUCUCUCCAUCCUUAUAAGUAGCUAGACCAAAAAACUCUAACAAAAAACGGCUAAAAUUUUGCCUCUGCGUGCCAUGGCUAGGUGGCAUCUUGUUUGCCAUGAAAACGGUACGGCUAUUUUUCGGAAACCGAAUUUGUUUUGACCAUGUUUUGGUUGCAGUGGAACCAAUCCAAAGGGAUUGAGCCAAGGGCUAGUGUGCAGCGAGACCGGCCAUGUAUGGCCAUCGCGAGUCCUCCUAUCCGUUGGCAUGCAAGAUCUCGUGCUGAUGCUGUCGUGAGGACGUAGCGUCGCAGCGGUCGCACUCGCCUCCACAGAGAUCCGUUCCACGAGUCGUGAGUAGUGGUUUGAUUCCUGACGUGGUGCAGCUGUAUUUUCUAUAUAAGGGUGUGGCCGUACAGUGAAAUAGAACUAUUGUACGGAUUUCGUAGGGUAACUAAACACGUAUUUUAUGAAGGAACCGGAAUAAAUCUAGCCCAGGAUUGAUCCACAACCGAACGAGGCCUUAGAGGGGUUCAGAUCUGUCCGUAUCUGAGUUCAAAUAUUCAACAUCCGAUACCGUAUCUUUAUCUGAAUACUUAGAUAGUAUAUUUAUGAUGUCGACAUCCAAUUGUAUCUUAUUUGACAUAAUUAACAUUAUCCGUAUUUGAAUCCGAAUCUGACCAGAAAUAUGAAAACAAAUGUGAUACCGGUGAUUUCCGUCCGUAUCUAUCCAUUUUCUCAACUGACUCAACCAAAGCCCGAUACUCUUAGAAAUUGCCUUUGUGCUUAGCGGGAGACCCAGGUAUUUGAUCGAGAAGUUCUGCACAGUCGAGAAUGGAUAUGAAAUCUAGCAGUGCUUCCUCGCCUCAAAGAUAUGUAGGUGUCACCGAACACUUAGCUAGGUUUGUGUGCAGUCCAGAUGAUUGACCGAAGAUGCUCAGGUUUUCCUUAACUGCAGUUGCCUCCUGGGCCGUUGGUCGAUGGAGAGUGUUGGGGGAUGUACUAUUCCUCCGAUCGCUGAGCUGUCUGAUUCUGGAACGCUGCCUUGCCUCCACUGCACUGAGUUGCCGGUGUUCCUAGGCGACGUCCAAGCGUAGCACCAGUUCUUGUGCCACGAGGAGUUGGGCUUUAAUGUCGCCAAUUCUCGCCGCAGACCAGCUUUGGACAAGGUGGCGUAGCAUCAAGUCCAGCCUCACAAGGGGAUCCAUUUGCAACACCCGGCGAGCCCAUGCCCAUCCUUGCUGGACUGAGUCAUCGUAGUCGUCGAAGCUGGGCCAAGACAACUCGAAGUGGAAUCUUGCGAUCCGAGGCAUCAGAACCUAGACCGGGGAACUGACGAGCACCCUGUCUAACCUGACGAGCGUAGGGUGUUCCCGUUUGUUGCUCCAAGUGAAGCAUCGGCCAUGUGCAGGUGAAGGUCUAGGAGUUCCAGAGUGCAUGGUCACCGUGCGCCUGAACCUCCCGAGGUUCAGCCAUGUUUAUACGCCCAUUGUUCUUGUCCGCCUCAUUCAAGAUUAGAUUGAAGUCGCUGUUAAUUGCUCAAGAUCCCUCGCAGGCGUCCCGGAUGGCCUCCAUUGCUGUCGUGUGGAAUGUGAUGUUGUAAAUAAAGCACUUUUUUUUUCCUUUUGCUUUCAAGAUGUGAUGAACUAAUACUAAAAGAUUUUUUUUAUUUUCGAACACUGGAAUGAUUCCUACAAAGAUAGAAAAUAAAUUUCAAAUGACAACCAAACAAUAAGAUGUGGAGUUAGAACUUAGAACUUCCAGUCUCGGAUAUCAGAUGAGAUCCAAUAAAUAUCAGGUCGUAAUAAAAGGUACGGUUGAAAAUUAGGUAGUGUAUCGUUUGAAGGUAAUAUUUUGAUGCAUUGAUCAUGGAAUGCUCAUGAUGAAUAGUGCAAUUUAGCAUCAGAUUUUUAUGAGCAGUUGUGUGGUCCUCAGUGUACUAAAUCGUUUGUCUUCAUGAACAUGACAUGAGGCAAAUAUUUAAUUAAGAGCGUCACUAUGUUUCAUGAAAAUGGUAUGCAUCCAUCUUACUAAUAGUGAACAUAAUCGGCCAAAUUAUUCAUGAGUUAUGCAAUUCAUAAUAUAAAAACUCUUUCACUUUUGAGCUCGAGCUCCUUAUAUAGAUCCAUAGAGUCUUGAGGGAUUUGUACAUGUCUCUUUCUUGUUUCAUACCUUUUGUGUCAGCACAUGUGAUGAAAUGGAACUUUGCAUCUAUUCAGCCACCUUGAACAAAAAUUCAUUCCGUCAAAAACCACCAAUGUAUGUCCAUGUGAGAGGGAGACUGUGAAUUGAUGUAUUAGAGGGAACUGAGAGUGGAUGUUAUUAUUUGUCCUCAUCGUCCAAAUCACAAAUAAUUUUUUUUCUCUUUGUUAGUUUCUUGAACGUAGACAUGCAUGUAAGCAUUUGAAUGCUUGGUAUAAGUCUUAAUAGGAGUAGUAUUGAGUCUAUAUUUGAACGUUUGGUAGACAUAAUAGUGUCCUCUAUGAACUCCACCACUAUGAACUCAGUAUACAUAUGCGUUGAAGAGAAGCUACAAAUAUUACUACAAAGAUCCACUGUUGGGAAAAAAACCUGAAAAACAAUAAGUGUGCAGUUAACUGGCUAUGUAAAAAUCUGAUUAUUGUCAUAAAAUAUUUAAGAAAUACCAUACUUUCACCGUGUCUACUCCAUCGUUAUAAUUUGCAAGUGGAAAACAUAAACAAUGGAAAACAUAAACAAUAUGCGGAGUAUAGAGCUUAUCUAAAAUAAGAUGAACACAACAUGAAUAUUGGAAAUAUGUAAAUUCUCGCAUAGUUUUUAUUAUUACGUAAGAUUUUUUUUUUGUUUUUUGAGUGACAAAAGAAAACAAUAUAUGCAAAUGGAGUGCUUAUGGAUCUAUUAUUUGUGAAGAGUAUAGGGGUUACACACUUCUAACUGUAUAUGGAGAAAGAUAUUUUCCAUCAUCUCUAUCAAAAUCCAUUUGAAGUACUUAAAUAAAUCCAUUAGAAUGCAAAGUGUCUAUUAGCCUCAUCUGCAGCAUGUUACACACUGUUGCCGUGGCCAUGCCCUUACAAGAUGCUUAUCAACACACCCUUCCCAUCAAGCACCCCAAGCACGAGCUCUAGAGUCUUUGGUGUCACCGUUGACGGCCUUCUACUCGAAUUCCUCAAGCAUGCGGUCCUUCACUGGUGCGUUAGCCCAAACAACGUCUACGUCCUCGACAGGUCAGGCCCACACGGUGACGUCGACGCCGAACACCUCCUUAUGCUUCCGUGGUGUCCUCAAUGCCGACACAUCCGUACGUGUUCUCCAAAGAGGCAGCACCCAUACUCUAUGAUGAACCAAUGGAACUCAUCGUCGCUCCGCGAAAUCCACUCGCUGAUGUGUACUACUGUGCAUGGUUUGUCUUCAGCGAAGCAAUGGGCGGCAGGUGUGGGUGCCGCUGGGCGUUGGGACGGUGGUGUGGAGCCGGGAAGGAUAUUGUCUCGCGUGAGCAGAGCGGGGAGGACCGGGUAGCUGUGAGAUCCAACAACAUCAUGUCUCGUGUCCUCCCGAUGUCCCGACCAUAGCAGCUAGGUUCCUGUUUCCAGAAGGGAACAAGAAUGGGAACUUAGGGUAUUAUUCUAUAACAUGAAAAUAGAAACAUUCAUAUUUCUAGAAUAUAGAUAUUUGGAAUGUGGAACAUGGAAACGGGAGCGUGGAUCAUGUUCUCAUACCUUGGAUGCAGAGCCACGAAGGACAAUGCCACCCCAUCUCGCUAACGCGAGUCAGGGCGUCCAAACAGUUGAACCAAAUAGCUAAAAUUGAAUGCAGACCCUCUUCAUCAUGUCUCCAUAUACCUUGGACAGAAGCCACAUGUCCCACAAAACCUAUCACACGGUUAUGUGAUGUACCGUCUCCAUCCCAAAUUAUAAGUCAUCCAAGAACUUUGAAGAGCUAAAUCAUUUUAAGUUUGACUAAAUUUAUAUGAUAGGAUAAUAACAUUUAUUUCAUCACAACUAAAGAGUAAAGAGUGUAUAAUUUUUGGUGCGACAAUCGUCGGAUCGCCCGUCUGCCUGCCCCUGUGACCUCGCGGCCUCCCCUCCCCUCCUCCCUCGCCCGUGUGAACGCUCCCUUCGGCAAACUCUGCCCCAUCCAUCGUGAAUCGAGCCGGCGCUGCUCUUCCCUAGGCCCCGACCCGUUCCCGCACGCGGCCGCCAGUGCUCCAUCCCCAAAGCGCUUCGCUCGCCGGUGCUCGUCUAAGGUAUAUUAAGAGGUAAUAUGAGAAUAAGAUAAAGUUUGCCUAAUUUCUAUUUUUAUUAUUAAAUAAAUAUGUCUCCAAGCUAUAUAUUAUUGUAAAUAUUAACUAUCUAAUACCAUAGAUGUCAUGGUUAUCAAUAAAAUAAAUUAUAGACUUUAAAUUUUCUAGAUGUCAUGGAUAUCAAUAAAAUAAAUUAUGGACUUUAAAUUUUAUAAAAAGGAUAAAUAUAAAUAGAUAUGUAACAUUAUGUUAUCACUUUCUAUGAUCAUUUGAUGUUUUUCUCCCGUUGCAACGCACGACAUAUUUGCUAGUAGAAUAAGAAACAGCCGAAACUAAUUUGACAUGGACACAUGAUAAAGGAAUAUAGAUUAGGCUGGACGAAACUAAAAGAAACGGUAAAAAUUUUAAGGUAUAGAUUUUGUCUUUGAUUUUUGAUAGAGUUUGAUUUGAAGAAGUCUAAUUUGAGAGAGGAUUUUUUUCUUCUUUUUUGUCUCGCGUCCAUCUCUCCAUCCUAAGUAGCCAGACAAAAAAAAACUCCAGACCAAAAAAGAGCUUAAAAUUUGCUUCUGCGUGCCAUGGCUGGGUGGCAUCUUGUUUGCGAUGAAAACGGUACGGAUAUUUUUCGACUGUAUUCGAGACCGAAUAUGCAUUGACCAUGUUUUGGUUGCAGUGGAACCAAUCCAAAGGGAUUGAGCCAAGGGUUAGUGUGCAGCAAGACCGACCAUGUAUGGCCAUCGCGAGUCCUCCUAUCCGCAGGCAUGCAAGAUCUCGUGCUGAUGGUGUCGUGAGGACGUAGCGUCGCAGCGGUCGCACUCGCCUCCGCAGGGAUCCGUUCCACGACUCUAGAGUAGUGGUUUGAUUCCUGACAUGGUGCAACUGUAUUUUCUAUGCAAGGGUGCGGCCGUACAGUGAAACAGAACCAUUGUACAGAUUUCGUAGGCUAACUAAACACGUAUUCGGAAUAAAUCUAGGCCAGGAUUGAUCCACAACCGAACGAGGCCUUAGAGGGGUUCAUAUCUGUCCGUAUCUGAGUUCGAAUAUUCAACAUCUGAUACAUAUCUGAAUACUUAGAUCGUAUAUUUAUGAUAUCGACAUCCAAUCGUAUCUUAUUCGACAUAAUUAACAUUACCGUAUUCGAAUCCGAAUCCGACCAGAAAUAUGAAAACAAAUAUGAUACCAGUGAUUUCCGUUCGUAUUCAAUCCAUUUUCAUCCCUAUUUGCGACUGACUCAACCAAAGCCUGAUCUUAGAAAUUGCCUUUGUGCUUAGCGGGAGACCCAGGUACGAUCGAGAAGUUCUGCACCUUGCAGUCGAGAAUGGAUAUGAAAUCUAGCAGUGCUUCCUCGCCUCAAAGAUAUAUAGGUGUCACCGAACACUUAGCUAGGUUUGUGUGCAGUCCAGAUGAUUGACCGAAGAUGCUCAGGUUUUUCUUUACUGCAGUUGCCUCCUGGGUAGUUGGUCGAUGGAGAGUGUUGGGGGAUCCUCCGAUCGCUGAGCUGUCUGAUUCUGGAACGCUGCCUUGCCUCCACUGCACUGAGUUGCCGGUGUUCCUGGGCGACGUCCAAGCGUAGCACCAGUUCUUGUGCCACGAGGAGUUGGGCUUUAAUGUCGCCAAUUCUCGCAGCAGACCAGCUUUGGACAAGGUGGCGUAGCAUGAAGUCCAGCCGCAUAAGGGGAUCCAUUUGCAACACCCGGCGAGCCCAUCCUUGCUGGACUGAGUCAUCGUAGUCGUCGAAGCUAGGCCAAGACAACUCGAAGUGGAAUCUUGUGAUCCGAGGCAUCAGAACCUAGACCGGGGAACUGACGAGCACCCUGUCUAAGCUGACGAGCGUAGGGUGUUCCCAUUUGUUGCUCCAAGUGAAGCAUCGGCCGUGUGCAGGUGAAGGUCUUGGAGUUCCAGAGUGCAUGGUCACCGUGCGCCUGAACCUCCUGAGGUUCAGCCCUGUUUAUACGUACACCCAUUGUUCUUGUCCGCCUCAUUCAAGAUUAGAUUGAAGUCGCCGUUAAUUGCCCAAGAUCCCUCGCAGGCGUCCCGGAUGGCCUCCAUUGCUGUCGUGUGGAAUGUGAUGUUGUAAAUAAAGCACUUUUUUCCUUUUGCUUUCAAGAUGUGAUGAACUAAUAACUAAAAGAUUUUUUUAUUUUUGAACACUGGUAUGAUUCCUACAAAGAUAGAAAAUAAAUUUCAAAUGACAACCAAACAAUAAGAUGUGGACUUAGAACUUAGAACUUCCGGUCUCGGAUAUCAGAUGAGAUCCAACAAAUAUCAGGUCGUAAUAAAAGGUACGGUGUAAAAUUAGGUAGAGUGUAUCGUUUGAAGGUAAUAUUUUGAUGCAUUGAUCAUGAAAUGCUCAUGAUGAAUAGUGCAAUUUAGCAUCAGAUUUUUCAUGAGCAGUUGUGUGGUCCUCAGUGUACUAAAUCGUUUGUCUUCAUGAACAUGACAUGAGGCAAAUAUUUAAUUAAGAGCAUCACUAUGUUUCAUGAAAAUGGUAUGCAUCCACCUUACUAAUAGUGAACCUAAUCGGCCAAAUUAUUCAUGAGUUAUGCAAUUCAUAAUGUAAAAACUCUAUUUCACUUUUGGGCUCGAGCUCCUUAUAUAGAUCCAUAGAGUCUCCAGGGAUUUGUACAUGUCUCUUUCUUGUUUCAUACCUUUUGUGUCAGCACAUGUGACGAAAUGGAACUUUGCAUCUAUUCAGCCACCUUGAACAAAAAUUCAUUCCGUCAAAAACCACCAAUGUAUGUUCAUGUGAGAGGGAGACUGUGAAUUGAUGUAUUAGAGGGAACUGAGAGUGGAUGUUAUUAUUUGUCUUCAUCGUCCAAAUCACAAAUAAUUUUUUCUCUUUGUUAGUUUCUUGAACGUAGACAUGCAUGUAAGCAUUUGAAUGCUUGGUACAAGUCUUAAUAGGAGUAGUAUUGAGUCUAUAUUUGAAUGUUUGGUAGACAUAAUAGUGUCCUCUAUGAACUCCACCACUAUGAACUCAGUAUACGUAUGCGUUGAAGAGAAGCUACAAAUAUUACUACAAAGAUCCACUGUUGGGAAAAAAACCUGAAAAACAAUAAGUGUGCAGUUAACUGGCUAUGUAAAAAUCUGAUUAUUGUCAUAAAAUAUUUAAGAAAUACCAUACUUUCACCGUGUCUACUCCAUCGUUAUAAUUUGCAAGUGGAAAACAUAAACAAUAUGCGGAGUAUAGAGCUUAUCUAAAAUAAGAUGAACACAACAUGAAUAUUGGAAAUAUGUAAAUUCUCACAUAGUUUUUAUUAUUACGUAAGAUUUUUUUUUGUUUUUUGAGUGACAAAAGAAGACAAUAUAUGCAAAUGGAGUGCUUAUGGAUCUAUUAUUUGUGAAGAGUAUAGGGAUUACACACUUCUAACUUUAUAUGGAGAAAGAUAUUUUCCAUCAUCUCUAUCAAAAUCCAUUUGAAGUACGUAAAUAAAUUCACUGGAAUGCAAAGUGUCUAUUAGCCUCAUCUGCAGCAUGUUACACACUGUUGCCGUGGCCAUGCCCUUACAAGAUCCUCAUCAACACACCCUUUCCAUCAAGCACCCCAAGCACGAGCUCUAGAGUCUAUGGUGUCACCAUUGACGGCCUUCUACUCGAAUUCCUCAAGCAUGUGGUCCUUCACUGGUGCGUUGGCCCAAACAACAUCUACGUCCUCGACAGGUCAGGCCCACACGGUGACGUCGACGCCGAACACCUCCUUAUGCUUCCGUGGUGUCCUCAAUGCCGACACAUCCGUACGUGUUCUCCAAAGAGGCAGCGCCCAUACUCUACGAUGAACCAAUGGAACUCAUCGUCGCUCCGCGAAAUCCACUCGAUGAUGUGUACUACUGUGCAUGGUUUGUCUUCAGCGAAGCAAUGGGAGGCAGGUGUGGGUGCCGCUGGGCGGUGGGACGGUGGUGUGGAGCCGGGAAGGAUAUUGUCUCGCGUGAGCAGAGCGGGGAGGACCGAGUAGCUGUGAGAUCCAACAACAUCAUGUCUCAUGUCCUCCCCGAUGUCUCGACCAUAGCAGCUAGGAUCCUGUUUCCAGAAGGGAACGAGAAUGAGAACUUAGGGUAUUAUUCUAUAACAUGAAAACAGAAACAUUCAUAUUUCUGGAAUAUAGAUAUUUGGAAUGUUGAACAUGGAAUCGGGAGCGUGGAUCAUGUUCUCAUACCUUGGAUGCAGAGCCACGAAGGACGAUGCCACCCCAUCUCGCUAACGCGAGUCAGGGCGUCCAAACAGUUGAACCAAAUAGCUGAAAUUGAAUGCAGACCCUCUUCAUCAUGUCUCCAUGUACCUUGGACAGAAGCCACAUGUCCCACAAAACCUAUCACACGGUUAUGUGAUGUACCGUCUCCAUUCCAAAUUAUAAGUCAUCCAAGAACUUUGAAGAGAUAAAUCAUUUUAAGUUUGACUAAAUUUAUAUGAUAGGAUAAUAACAUUUAUUUCAUCACAACUAAAAAGAAUAAAGAGUGUAUAAUUUUUGGUGUGACAAUCGUCGGGUCGUCCUUCUGCCUGCACCUGUGACCCCGUGGCCUCCCCUCCCCUCCUCCCUCGCCCGUGUGAACGCUCCCUUCGGCAAACUCUGCCCAUCCAUCGUGAAUCGAGCCGGCGCUGCUCUGCCCUAGGCCCCGACCCGUUCUCGCACGCGGCCGCCAGUGCUCCAUCCCCAAAGCGCUUCGCUCGCCGGUGCUCAUGGUCACGCAUCAGACUCCGCCUGUCCGUCUACUCCGCCAUGACUGGCGCAAGGCCCCUCCCAUGUAGCACCCACCCCAGAUCGUGCUCGCGCUCACACUUGCUCGCUCGCAGAUCGGCCGGCCACCAUUGUGCGACGACGAAUCGGUGUGACAGCAACCGGCGAGCGUGCGACCAUCACUCUGGAAAGGUCGGAUCGGAGGCGCCGGACGCAGACAUGGAUCCUCAUCUAUCUCGAAAGGACACGGUUUGCAGACUGCGAGGCCCAGAGCAGCAAGUCGUCGGGGGGGGGCCUCCGUUGCGCGGUACGCCUAGCUGCGGUGGGCUGCCCUACUUGCCUUCCACGUGAGGACUGGGGCCAUCUGGCCCGGCGGCCGCCGCACUAGCCGCUCCCGGCAGUGGCCCAGGUUGUGCCGCAUCGCCCACACGCUAGCGCCCGAGUCAACGUUUCCAUGUUGAACACGGCCUCGCAGCCUCCUCGACGCUGUAGCCACCAUCCUGUGGCCUGCCCUCCGGGCCUAGCUUCUCCCUUGGAUACCUCCUCCCUGAACAUUCCGGCCACCACCUUCUCGUCGCUCUCGAUGCUGCUGCAGCCCGCCUCUUCAUUCACGUACUGGUAGGCAAGCUCAUGUCCUUCAUCAAUGGUCAUCAUUGUGAGCCAGUAUAUUGGGUCUGACCUUAUUUUUUUCUGAUUAGAGAGUGAACAGAUAAUUCAUGUUUCUUGAUUCUUUCGUCUCUUCGUGUAAUGUUAUUGCAGAAUCUACUGAUGUUGUAAAUACUGCAGUUAAUUGUAAUAGUUUGUUUCCAUUGUGUUUGAUAGUGCUUUGGCAGGCGUUCUGUACCUACUCACUUUGUUGGUGCUGCUUUGCUUAGAGGAGAGUGGCGACAUGUUGUUAGCUUGAUUCUUGGUACAGGGGUAGGUGAACUUUUUUCCCCUGUUAAAUAACUAAAUAAUUUAUGUUAAAUGUGUGAAUAUUUGAAACUUAAACUUCUAGCAGUUUCAUGACAUGCAGGUAUUUUAUAAAUGGCAUGGUCAUGUUGAUGCAGCACUUAGGGGCAUGCCCGGCAUGUUACAGUGGAGAGAACUAUUGUAGGUUUCCUUGAUCUUUUUGCAGACAUCGUACAUGUAACCGAAAUAAAUUCAUAUAUCUUGUCAUUUUACCGUAUGGUUUUGUUAUUGUGGGAUUUUAUUGGUCCUAGGCUCGUGCUACUCCGUAGUUUCCUACAGAGUCCACUUAUAUAAAAAAGAAAGAUGUAGGUGUUUCUCACCUGCCAAGAGCUUUCUUGACUACACAAUACAGUCUGUAUGUACUAUUCAGGUGUUUUGUGCAGUUCCAUUCAUGAAUUUAAAGUUAAGCGGUCUGGUUUUAGCUUUAGUUUCAAACUAGGAGGCUACGGUUCAUCAUAUUUGUAGCUAUAGCCUAUAUUAUGAGUGGAUGCUCUGAGUGAAAAAUAGUUCUCAAUUAGUUUUUGAGUCAAUGAAAUUGAGCUGCUCAGUUUGCUUGGGGAAAAGAAGAUAAUAGAGCAAUAAAAAUGAAAAAGUUAGAUAUUAUAACAAAAACUAUGGGAAAGAAUAGCCUAGAGGAAACAAAUAUAUUGCAUCAUGUGUUGUCAUGACUUCCUAGAUAUAAAACAUUAUUCAAAAGAACUUUAUCGUUGUGCAAGCAAGACAUGAGUUAUGGGUUAUACUUAUACAUGACAAACAUCUUAGAGUAGAAUGAAUGAAAGAAUUGUCCUCGAUUUUAUAGAUCUUCAAUAUGAAUAUUUUGACAUCCACUAGACCAUAGCAUGUACAGUGUGCCAAAUAGAAAAAAGGUGCUUUGACACACAUCAAAGCACAUUACCAGAAGUUUUAAGGGUGUUAGACCGCAAAACUAUGUCAAAACCAGCUUUGUUUUCAAUCACUGAUCAGAUCUUUUAGCCACAGUGACUUGAUCCCUGAGACCUAAUUUAGCACUGAAUGAUAUGUUCAGAAAAGUUGUCUUAUAGCUCUAAAGAACCUAAUUUAGCUCAAGCGAAAAGUAUUUUGCAGAACCAUCAGGAAUUCAGGAGUUCAACUAUACCACCAGAUUCUCCACUAUUUUGAUGGAAGUGAAUUCAAUUCAUCUUUGCUAUUUACCAUCCUAUUAAGAUAGUAAGCCAUAGUGAAAACAAAGCAGUAUUAUACAUUAUCACUUAGCUAGAGUAAAUACUAAACAGCGAGGUGGUGGAUCAAAGCUUAAGAUUUAGUUUGGUGCUUUCAAGGUUGGGCGAGAAUUUGUCGGAGCACACCGUGUUUGAAUUUAUUACUAAAAAGACAGUGAGUUGGCAAUUAUUGAUGUCAGUUGGAUCCUUGGGAACUACUAUCCUGAGUACUUCCCAUCAAUAUUUGGUUCAAAUACGACCCUGAUUGUGAAGCUACAAGUCAACAUAUAUUGUGCAUUAAGUUAAGUUACAAAACUAAAAUUGCACACACUUGAGCUUUGAGAUUGUCUGGGGGGCAACUGAGAUUGUCUGAGAAUGCCAUGAGAUUGUCUGGGGGGCAACUGCAGUAUAAGGCUUGGCAGCUCGAGAACCAGCAACCAUAUCUUACGAUGACACUACAAGUUUCAUCUGAUGAUAAUAUUUUUUGUACUUCCAUCCACCUAAAAGCAAAUUUCAAUUUGAUCUUAAAAACUCAGACAUACCAAAUACCACAUUAGCAAAAGAAUCAAAACACUCCUAGCUCAUUCAUUUGAUGGAUCCCAUGUUAAGACCAUCUUUUUCUUGCUGAGGAAAAAAGUUAUUUAUGCACCAACCUAACAUUUUGAUGGGGUAAGGUGACUUCUGCAUUUGGUGGUGAUCUUGUCCUAAAUAACAGUUUUGUGGAUACAGCUGUUCCUGUUCCAAAUAAAUUCUCAUUUCUUGUUUGGAGGACCUUUAGUUAAACAACAUACUAUCUAUAGGUUCAAGCCCUUUUUAAAUGGCUAUGAUAGUGAGCACCUAGACAUUAUUAGGCUUCGUUUCUCAGGGUAGUUGUAGAGGGAAAGUACGGAAAUCAUACAACUUAUAAUCUGCUACAGCUUUGUUAGACUUAGGUAUAUUGCUUCACUUUGAUUGGGAUUAGGGCAUCACUGAAUUGGAACUGUAGAGAGCAAUGGUCUGUACAUUGGAGAUAAUUUGUUCUAUUGAAUAAUCUGAUGGUGGUCAAAAGAAUGGCAAAAAAUUGUGACCUGGAACAAAGCUGCUUGAACUAUUUUUUUAACAUGUGCUCGCUGAGUUUACUUAGUUUGUUUUGCUUCUUUGAUUACAGAUAGUAAGAUGCAAAACUAAUGUUCAUAUUUUGUUUACAGUGGCCCAACUGACUCUGAAAAUCAAGCAUCUUUCAGCUUUCUACACAAGAAGGUAUGCAAAAUCUUUCUCUAAUGAUUUCUUUGUGCUGCUUUUCCACAGCAUCUUGGUAGUGAUGCUUUUGGAACCGUUUAUAUUUAUUCGUCAAGAAGUGAGUUGUAACACUCCAAUUUUAUUAUAUAUAUAUAUAUAUAUAUAUUCACUACUUUUAUCAAAUUUGUUUGUUCCUACCAAUUUUAGGUAUAGUCAGGGUGAGUGCAAAUUCGAUUAUGCAAAUACGAUUAUACCAGAGAACUAGAAUAAAGCAUUUACAAAGCAUGAAAAGUAGUGUAGUUCUAAUUUUUGAAUAUAUUAAAUUCCAUUUAUUAAAUGCUUAAAUUGAUUGGCACAUUGACAAUCAAAUUCAAUGGAAUCACUUUUUUGGACUAUACAAAAUUACAACAGUUCUUUUUUUUCCAAAGCUGCCCUACAAACCAAAUCAAAUACAUUGCUCUGUAUAGAACAGUGCCUUUUUUUUUUUCCAAAACUGCCGUACAAACCAAAUCAAAUACAUUACUCUGUAUAGCAUAUUGAGCUCUCUGCAUUGGGUACGCCCCCUUUGAUUUCCUGCUAGUAUCUUUUGGUUUCUAAUAAAACAUGAUAUGAACUAUGUGCAAUUUUGAUCUCCUGCCAGUAAGUCGUUGUUACUAAUGAUCUCAAUUACCAAUUAGGUCUGCAUGAAGGGAAGAGCAGACCAAUUGAAGGAUUCGUACAUAAAGACUCGUUUUUCUGGUGGCGCUAAUGAGUUGUAUGCCCGUAAUGGCAAGCUACGCACUAGACUUCCGAAAUCUCAAUUGUUUAGAACCAAUGAUCAGUGGUCAGAAUGAACUGUCUGUAAGCAUGUGCUUCAAAUUUUGAGAAAUGAAUAACGGAGAUUCCUUAUUGUCGAUAUACAUUAUCUUAGCCGUAUUACGGAAAUGUCUAUAUAGUGAGUUUGUGAACCUAUGACGCAAUGUUCUCUGUGAUUAUGUUAACUUCACGGAUUUUGCUUUUUAGAUUAAAUGUCACUUUAAUGUCAGUAUCUAACUUAAUAGUAUUGUUAUCUUAUCGUGCAAUCCAUGUGUUUUUAGCACAAAAGUUUACUAUGCACGGGUAUGCUACUUUGUAAUGUCAAUUAAGUACAACAAUACUCUCUCAAAAUCAUCAAACAUGCAAGAAGAGUCUCUGAAAAUAGAUGCCCACUAUUUUUCAAUCACAAGGAUCGCAGCAAUCCAUGGUUAUGUUGGAGUACACAGUUAAAUACCUGGCCGAUGAGUGUGCACUUGACGUCGAUGGCAGCGGCACGAUGAGGAAGAUCACAAUGAUUUUGGCGUCGAGUUGGCGGCUUCUUGCCGUUGGUUCUCCAAAGUAGCACGCAACUAUUUUUGGCCAAUACGGCUCGACUCUCCUGGAGGAGAUUGUAUGCGAGGUGUUCUGGGAAAUCAAGGAAGACAAGGACCUUUAAUAUAUAUAUAUAUAUAUAUAUAUAUAUAUAUAUAUAUAUAUAGGUAAGGUGUAGAGAGGAAAAGGAAGAAUUUUGAGUAGAAAAAUACCUCGAUAUUUUCUAAUUUGAAGUGUUUUUGUUUUUUAUUCCAAUUUUGAUUCAUUCAAACUUGCCAUAAAAAAUGAGGAAUUUUGGCGGAGCUGCAUCAGACAUGGAGGAAGAGAAUCCAAAGCUCAACUCGGAGCGACGUUUGGCGUGUGGGCACUGCAUCAGACAUUGAGGAAGGUAAGUCCAUGUCGAACUUGGAUUUGAGGUAGUUAUGCACCGCUCUCACCCAGCUCCGAGUCCAUCUCGACGUCUCUGCACCUUGUCGGCCUUGGCGUCUGCUUAGGUGCGGAUGACGGCGAUCACCCCGCUGGCCUUUUCGCGAUGGCGAGCGUGUACAUGUGGACAGCGGCGAGCGGACAGCGGUCCAGGCUGCGAGUGCGCAUGGGCAAACGGACGGCAGCGAGCGCGCUUGAGUGAGUGGAUGGCGAGCGCUUGGUGAGCGGACAGCGAGCGCUCGUGGCGUGGGCGAAGGACGAACGACCGCACUUCCAUGCGAGCAUUCGAGUUGUGGUUGCGGCUUGGCUAUGGAUUUUUUUAAUUACGGAGGAGGAACCACAUCCACAAAUCCUAAAGGGCCGUUCCGUGCGGGGACACGCCGUGCGGAGAGUCUACGCGAAUGGGCCAAAAUGAGUGCGAAUGUGCUUUUGUUCAGAAUGGGCUGGACGAAAAAACGGCCUAGAUAGAUGAAAAAAAGGCUAAAAUUUUACCUUUUAUUAUUAGAGGAAUACAGGUAUAUAUAUAUAUAGAUAAUAUUAUUUUAUUAAACAAUUACAAAUUUCUUAGGUGUCGUUUUUACAAAAUUUCAAAACUAGUGGUAGGCCGAGGACUGAAUUACCGAUAUCCUACGUGGUACUGGGCCGAUAGGCCUAUCGGCUAGUGGCAGAAGGCCGACUGCCAACCAACAUGCAAGCGGAACGUUUGGACCAAUUCAUUUUUAGGUCCUUUCUUGUCGAUCCCAAAAAAAUGAGUAUUUAAAUAUCUCAAAAACUAUUGUAAUUUUGAAAAUAGAUGCUGCAAAUCAAACACAACCUCUUUUACUUGGAUUUAGCAUCAUCGCUUUUUAUGAUUUUCAAAUUAAAAAUGCUUCCCAAUCGCCACAUGACCACAAGUAGGAUACGUUUCCAAUCUCCACAUGACCACAAGUACUGAACACGUUUGUCGGCGGUGCACGGGAGUGGCCGGAUUGACUGGCGGUAGUCCAUAUCGUCAUGGUCAGCUGGUAGUGGUUGAGGCUGCAGCCCUCUCGUUGCAACUCACACCAGUCGCGGAGAACCAAACUCUUGCAGCCUUUCUGUCCGGAAGGAGUCAUGACACCACCCCAGAUUGGAGAAUCAAGCCCUACGUCCAAAACUUCCUCAAUCUCACGAAGGGAAGAUCUUCAAGAGUGCUCAAGAUAGAUAGGGAACAGGAUGCUAAAGCCCACUCCUUAGCGUUGCAGGCAUAUAGGACAUCUGUUGUUGUUUGUUUGGCUGAUAAACCAUGGCAGAAAGUAUUGUUGGUUAAUUUGUUGUAAGAGAAAAAUAUUAUUGAAUGACUUACAUAUUAAGUUGAUAGUCUUAAAAUUGUACAAAUCCCAGAUACAACAGUAUUUGUCCUCUCUCGAGUGCUCUAGCUAAUCAGGCCCGUCUCAUAGAGGGGUGCAGGAGUGCGACGGCCGAGGGCCCAUAGCAUUGAGGGCACAUGAGUAUAUCCCUCUAUACUACAGGUAUUGAGGCUCAUACGCCUGGACGUGACCCAUUCUAUUUGUGAUAGUGACUUCCUUUGCGGGGACAACGUGCUUCGCGGCCUCGGGGGAAUCACCGAUUAGGCAAUCGCGGUUUGAGGGCGGCGAGUGCGGUGACCUCGUCGGUGUGUUGCAGCCCUUGCAGGUAGGUUAGCACUCCAGUACUCCACUCAAUAGGUUCUGGACUUCUAGUAUUGUGGUCCAACAUUCCUCCCUAUCUCCCUCGAAGGCUCAACUGAAGUGAAUCUUGCCUCUACCUGUCUUGUUUGUUGCAGUUGCUUUGUGUCUCCGAUCAAUUAUCUGUUUUCAGUUUAGUUCGACACUCCACGACUCCAUGACUCUGUGGCCAAUGGUAAGUGAUUGCAGCUGCAGAUUUGCAGUUCCAGUUUAGUUAUCAGUGUAGGGAUCUAAUUUUCUAAAUUCUAAUUUCAAUAUUUUUUGAUAUAUUAGAUACUUCAAGAUUCUCUUAUUAAUAGUACUGUAAUUUCAAUCAUCACAUUGAAACAUUAGGUCGCCAGUCUCUUCAUGUCUUGCUUGCACAAAGGCCCUAAAAAUUAUUGAGACGACACUAUAGCUAAUGUAAACAGCACCGACUGUACCUGAAACUUGCAGCUGUUUGCUACUAAUAAAGGAAUCUAUCCCCUUUGUAAAAAAAAGGCCUAUUUGGUUCACGCUCAUAAAUUUUACCGUACAUCAUAUUAAAUAUUUAGACAUAUGCAUGAGUGUAUUAGAUACUAUUUACGAAACUAAAAACAUAACUAAAGAAUAAUUUAGAAGACGAAUCUUUUAAGCCUAAUUAGUCCAUGAUCGGACACUAAUAGAAUAAAAUAAAAAUGCUAAGUAUCUGUUAAACUUUAACACCCGAAUCAAACACCCCCAAAAUUCAGAUAGCACUAUUUAGGCCCUGUUUAGAUGCAGCAAAAUAGCCAAAACUUUUAGAGAAAUGAGCAGUUUUUGGGUUGUAAAGAUUUGAAAUUUGGGACUUUGGAGCCCAAAAACUAUGUAAACUUGCUUAGGGGCCCAUAUCUUGUGUGUUGCAGACCAAAAAUUUUUGAAAGCAUCUAAACACCUAUUUGAAUUGUAAAAUUUACAACCAAAAGUUUUGGGACGUAAAGAUUUGGGAUCUAAACAUGCCCUUAUUAUCGUAUUUAACUUGAAACUGUAAGAAUAGAACAUGUACGAAUUGGCAUUUCAAUAUGUACUCAAUUUUGAAAAUAAUAAGUACUCCAGGCGUUCCAAAAUAAAUGCACUUGUUUCCUUAUAAGUUAAACAUUUUUAUGUAACCAAAUGUUAUAGAAAAUAGUAUUUAGAUUUGUAUCUCUAAAUAAAUAACUUAUUAUAAAAAUAAUAAUAUUUUAAAUAUAUUUGGUCAAACUUUAAAAAUUUAACUCAUCCGCGAGACGUGCAGGCCGGAGGGAGUAUCUACUUGCUUAUUGAUAGUUUUAGCAGAACAAAAUUACUAUGCAUAUAGAUAUUUAAAAUAUGACUAUAUAUACAUAACACUUGUAGAUAACAACUCAUAUAAAAAUGACAUAUAUAUUAGAAGCAUUGUUCUCUAAAUGGUCGUUUGACCCGUUUACACACCGUUAAACAUAUUAAUGGUACAUUGUUUCCUUUAGUCAGUUAUUAUCAAAUAAAUAAUAGCUAAACCGUAAACGAUCGACUGUUUACCACUCAUCAUCAUUUAGGAUAGCAUUAUAGAAGUUAAUCUCUAUAAAGAUUAUUAAUUAUCUCUAUAUUUAAAACUUUACUAUCGUAUCUUAUAUAAAAACUAAUAAUAUUUAUAUUUAGUCACUGAUGUAAGUUUUAGAUUGGUUUAUUGGGUACUUUGUUUCUUUACGAAUACAUGCAAUAACAGUAUUUAAAAUUUUUAAAAUAUGAAUACGAAAUCAAAUAGAGAAAAAUUAUAAAUAGCCAAAAUAAAAAUGCAUCCAUUUAGAAUCGGACAUAUAAAUUCAGAUAUCUAUAUAUUAACGUUAAAACAAAUCUGGAAUUUGAUUUUUCAGAUUCAGAAUCUGGCUUCGCCUUUUUUUUUGACUCGUUUAUUAAGUAUAUAAGCACGUGUCCGUGGAUAGAGUGAGUGAAAUCAAAAUGUUGUACCGUAGUACUCUCUGACUAUUGUUAUUCCCUAGAAUUUUGGAGUCGCUGUUUCUACUUCCUCCUCGUUCGCGUGUCUGAAAUUGAUGACGGGGCUCCCCCGUAUUCGGGCUACGUCGACGGGGCUGACCGGUGACGGUGAACGAAGCUGGGCCUUGUUUAGGCCUGGUUUAGUUUCGAAAAGUGAAAAGUUUUCGGUACGGUAACACUUUCGUUUGUUUGUGACAAAUAUUAUCUAAUCAUCAACUAACUAGGAUCAAAAGAUUCGUCUCGUGAUUUACAACUAAACUGUGUAAUUAGUUUAUUUUUGUCUAUAUUUAAUGUUUUAUGCAUGUACCAUAAAAUUUGAUGUGACGAGAAAUCUUGAAAACUUUUUGGUUUUCAGUCGAACUAAACAAGGCCUUAGUUCACCUCAAAAAGCAAAAAAAAAUUAAGAUUUUCCGUCAUAUCGAAUCUUGCAGCACAUGCAUGAAGCAUUAAAUAUAGACGAAAACAAAAACUAAUUACACAGCUUAGCUGUAAAUCGCGAGACGAAUCUUUUAAUCCUAGUUAGUCUAUAAUUGGAUAAUAUUUAUCACAAACAAACGAAUAGUUCACCUCAAAAAGAAAAAAAAAUUAAGAUUUUCCGUCAUAUCGAAUCUUGCAGCACAUGCAUGAAGCAUUAAAUAUAGACGAAAACAAAAACUAAUUACACAGCUUAGCUGUAAAUCGCGAGACGAAUCUUUUGAUCCUAGUUAGUCUAUAAUUGGAUAAUAUUUAUCACAAACAAACGAAAGUGCUACGGUACCGAAAUCCGAAAUCUUUUCGGAACUGAACGAGGCCCC
rnacentral:lncRNA from 1 species